rnacentral:lncRNA from 1 species
CAACAACAACAACAAUGCGUGAUCUUCAUCAUCAAUCUUGACCUCGAUAUUCUCAAGAUCAAGAAUCAACUUGUUGAACAUAUUCAAUUGCUCAUCCAAGACUUUGUCUUCACUCAUCUUGAAUGGAUACAAAGCUUGCUUCAAGUAGAGGUGAUUAACCAAAGAUUUGGUCAUAUAUAAUCUCUCGAGUUUGCUCUGCACGCAUUUGUUGUAGUUUUCUCCUUUGAAACCUGCUUCAAUGAUGAUCGAGGACGACGAUGAUCGAGAAAGCACACAGUACAAUCAAAGUGAUGCCCAGAAAAUAGAGUAUGAUCAGUUUCUUGAUUAACAAGAAAACCACAAAGUAAAAGAGAAGAGGGAAGAGAAAAGAAAGAACAAUCAAAGUGGUUUAAAACUGUACUCUUGAUUCAAUUAUACAUUAGGGUACAAUGUUUACAAUUGAAUCUCAACCACCCAAUUUUCUCCCUCUCAUUAGGAUUAUCAGGGAUUGAGGGAGAUGUGAGAACUAGUAUGUUAUUUAUAAGAAAAACAAAUCCAAUAUUUCAACUAAGACACUAAACAAUUGGCCCAACAAGCUGGUUUAAUUCAACAUGCUAAAUUAAACAACAAGCUAACAUAUUUUUACAUGCAAGAACAAACUUCGACUACGACCUGCACAUCUUUGACUACUGUCGAACCAUGAAACUAACCUUAUCGAGACUAGAGUUCGAUCCAAAUACCAUAAAAAUAUUUAAAUAUGCUGCAAAUCACAUCGGAAAAGUCGAAGGGAUGAGUGGUUUGCAUCUAAACCACUUCGGAUACAAUAAUAAACAUAAAGAUUUCUGCUUUCUACAUAAUCUCUAUUUAAUGCAUAAUUUACUUUUCAACCUAAAUUGACCUGCACACCGAUGCUAUAUAUACAAGAAGCAAUGGUGAAGACCAACAACUAACCAUUAGUUAACUCACAACUAACUAACUUCUAAUAAGACUUUAACUAACUGAUCUAUAACACCUGCUAACAAAUUUUAACAAAACUGUUAAAUCUUACAAAGAGAACAUAGACUUGGUCUUGAGCUUAUACUUCUAGCACUUAAAAAUAAAUAAAUAGAAUAAUGUUAACACUUAAAAAUAAAUAAAUAGAAUAAUGCAGGUUUGAAAUUAAUGGCAUAUUCUUAAAAUUAUUUGUCUUAAAAUAAAUAUUCAUUCCUUUUAAUUUUUAAAUAAAAUUUAUUUUUUCUCUUAUAAUUAAUUAUAUUCUCUAAUGAAUAUACUCUCAAUUUACUAUUUCUUUCAUUUACUAUUUUUUUCUGAUAAUUAUACACCAAAAAUCAAUAAAAAUAAUUUAAUAAAAUUAUUAUUCUCUCUUUUAUUUAUCACAUUUUAUAAAUCCAUGUGAAAGUAUAAGGAUUAGCCUUAUUUUAGAAUUGAGGGAGUAUUAUCUAUACUUUACAUAUGUUAUAUCUAAGGUUGAGUGGUUAAGCAAGUAUUUACAAAUCUCAAGACCUUGGAUCAAUCCUUGAAUGACCUCCUUUUACAUUGUCUAAUAAUUCAUUUGCAAAAACAAUACUUAUUUAAAUAAUUGUUUGAGAAUUAAGAGUGUCCAAAUAUAAUGACCAUUUUUAAUUUACCUCAUUUAAAAUUCCAAUCAUGAUUAAAAAUAGUAGUUAAAAAUUUGGUGGUUUCCCCUUACACAGGAAUGCACAAAGCACAUACCUUAGAACCAAAAGAAAAUGAUGGCAUCCACGAAAUGAUGUUCCAUUAUUUUAUCUUUCCAAUAUUAAAUAACAUUAUAACCUCAUCUCAAAGUUUUUGCCACCAUUAUUGCCAAACAUGCUUACUAACAUUCAGUGAAUGGAGUGUCAUAUCCCAAGAUUCUUUAUCUGUCCCCACCUCAUUUCUUUCAUCAACUUGAACUCUCCAACCUCUAUAUAAACCAUUCUCAAUCCCAUUAUUUUUCAUCAGAAUUAAAGCAUAGUUUCCUAUACAACUCUUUAACUAAAUUUCUCUUUAAGCAUUUUCUUUCUAUUCCUAUUAUGGCCACUGUUGAGGUAACUAUAUUUCCUUUAAUUAUAUGUGCUGUUUUCAGUAGGUGCCAACCUAGCCACGCAAAAAUCCGAAAAAAAUGGAGCGGGCCAGGAUGGACAUUUUUUAAGGCGCUGACGGAUCCGUGGACAUUACAUAUUUAAAGUUUAAAAAUUGCAAAAAUUUAUAUUAAUAUUGGCAUGACGGAUAAGGGCGGGAUGAACAUAUUAGAACGUCCAGGUCUAAAACCUUGGCCCGCUCCGAAAAGAUGCGCGUUAAACAGGCUCGGUAGAGCGGGCCCCCUAGUUUUCAUUUUGAUUUUUAACAACUGCUUAAGCAAUUUGUGUUCAUAUUUUGAUCUUUGUAGGUUGUAUCUACAAAGACUGCACUCUCGGACGACACCACCGGGUUAUUAUUGAAAUCUGAUGAGAAAACCACUGAAGAAGUUCUUGAGAGUCCAAUUGCACCAGCAGCAUCAGAAGCAAAAGAAGAAAAAGAAGAAGAAGCUGUAGUAGAAUCUUCAGUUGCAGAAGCAAAAGUACCUUUGAUUGAAUCUGAAACUAAAGAGGUGGUAGAAGAAACUGUGACUGUGAAAGACACCGAGGAGGAAACAAAGAAGGAAGAAGAAACUGAGAAAGAGGAACCUGUUGAGGAGACAAAAGAAAAUGCUGAUUCUGUUGUUGAUGUUAUUCAGGAACCACCAACUGCAGAAUCUGAGACAGUAAAAAAUGUUGUUAAGGAUGAGAAUGUGAUAGAUGAGCCUGAAACUAAGGACAAUGUUAACACAGAAGAAGCACCAAAGGAGAAAGCCGAGGAGAACGUUGAGAAAGAAGAAGCCAUAGAUGAGAAGAAAGAGGAGGAAGUGAUCACCAAAUCUGAGGCAGAAAUAGAGAAGAGUGAGUAAGGAAAAAUGUGAAGUAUAUGAAAACUGUUUAAGUUUCAUGUGUUGUUGUUGAAUGUGUUUUUGCUGUUACUUGUUUGUUAGUGGUGUAAUAAAAUAGCUAUAGUAUUACUACUAGUAGCUAAAUCUAAAUGCAUGUUGCUGUGUGUGUGAUUCUGCAUAAUUGUUUUGUAUGUUAAUCUGUUCAAAUAAAUAUUUAGAUUAUUUGUAUUUCUUUGAGCAAUGAUUUGUAUACUACAUAAAUUCCCUAAAGAUGUAAAGAAGAUAAAUAUGUCAUCACCAAAUGCAAUUAUUUCUUUCUUCUGCACUUGUUUUAUCAAUAGCAUAUUUCUACUUAUUUCUCCACCAAAUCAAAAUUUAAGACCUUAAUAACACAAUUGUCAGGAGUGUCAUUCUGCCAAGCACAUCACGCAUUGAUGUAUAAGUUGCGAGCAUUUUGCUUUAUGAUUUAGCACCCGACGAAGAUGCUGAGGCCGUUCCUAUGGACGCCGAGGCGGGUGGUGAGGCCGAUGACGAGUUAGAUCGAAGAUAACGACACUUUCGGGCACUUACACACCAUACCCGCACCCCAUCUCUCGGCCAUCUCACUUCCUCCUAUGCAUUAUUCACCUGCACCCACCACACAAUAUUAUACUGACACUUUUGCAGGUUCAUCAUCAUGGCACCAGUUGGCUACAUGAUAUGAUUAUAAUGCCUUUAGGAAUGAGAUCGUGGACUUGAGAUACGAGGUCGAGGCAAAGAACGAUGUUGAUUCGGAGCGUGAUCAUCUAUUUUAUGUCAUGCAUCAGCAACAAACCAAUAUGAUGGAUAACUUGCGGACUAUUCAGGCUACAAAGGUUUAGAGUCAGAAUAUGAUACAGACCAUGACCGACCAGAUGCAUAGUAUGAUCCGAGAAAUGGAUGAUAGGGAACACAUAGCUUUUUAGCGAUAGCAGGUGUAUGAUGAGAUGUUGGGCGCUAUUCUUUAUUAUCUGCAGAGUAUGGGUAUCCAUCGCCUCCUGCGCAGGGUCCUCACCAAAGACGAGGCCGAGGUCGAUGACGAUACUGAUUUUCCUCCUGACCAGGUUCUACCUCCCUCUCUUUCUCUUAUUUGCUUACAUGGAGGACAAUGUAAGAUUUAAGUAUGGGGGCAUUUACCGCUUUCAUUUACAUUUACCAUUUUUCAUUAUUAUUGCUAUCUUGUUUUAUUAUGCUUCCUUAGUUUAAUUCUAUGUUAUUGCUUUUUUUCUUUUGUAGGGAAGUGUAUUGAGUCUUUUGCAUGUGAUAUCGAGUCUUUUAUGCGUGGUUUUCUACUUGUUAUUGGAUUCUCUGAUUACUUGAUCCAUUCUGAAAAUUUUUGAAAAUUUUGAAAAGGCUUAGGAAGCUUAGCUUGAUUUGAAAGUAUAUAGCCUUAAAAAGAAGUGAGGUGAGGUUGAGGAGACUUGGGAAAAUCCGACAAAAUCGGUAUUGUCCUAACACCUCAAGCUUCCCAAAUAUGUAUGUUAGUUUAAAUUUCCAUUGAGCCUUAGUCUUGAACUCGUAUUUGGUGGUAAUCCUCGAGUAGUUUUUAUAUCCGGUCAGACACCAUCUAUAAGAACACAUUUGAGUGGGUUGGUUGACGAAUAAUAAGUGAAUAAUCGAUUUCUAAUAAUAAAAAAAAUGAAUAAAAAGGGAAUACUACAUUUACUAAGAUAUGUGACUCUCACCCGGUCAUUUAGCCCAAAGAAGUGGUUGAGCCUUCAAAAGAAAAAAUACAUCUUUAAAAAAGAAAGAAAAUUUGUGGAAAUCUAAUGAGAUGUUUUGAUCAUAAUCACUAACAGACCGUCUGCCAUGUGUGUAAGAUAAAGGGGCUUAAUGUGACUGUCCCGAACGAAAGAGGAGGCAACAAGUAGGAACCUCAGAAUUUGAUAUAAAACGGAACGGUUCGAAUUAGUAUGCAUAGGAGGGAGACUUGUGACUGUGAGAGUGGUUUGUGUUGUCACAAUAUCAUUAGUGUCGACAUUAGUACCUAUCGAGUCAAUUUUAGUUGAACGUAUUUUUAUAGCCACGUAUGAGUAAAUUCAAUGCUUUAUUUUCCUUUUGUCUUUAUACUAUACUGAUGCAUUUCAUUGAUUAAUAUGUUGGCUGACUCGCUUGAGUAGAAGAAAGGGUUCAAGUGGAGGGGAGUUUGAUAACUCGAAAAAAGUAUCGUGAUUUUGAAUUGAUUCACAUGCCAUUUUGAGUAUUUUGGUUGUAAGAGUGUCUGUGCGAGAAAACGAUGCGAAAUAGCAAAAACGGGAGCAAAAUGCAAUUCUGCAUUGUCAUGAUACCCACCUUGCCAACAUGAUGCUCAUCAUGACGUGGCGCCUUGAAGACCAUCAGCACUAAAAGAUAAAAUCAGAAGAAUUUGACUGCUAGCAGGAUGACGGGUAGGUCGUCAAUCAGAUGACGUCCGUCAUCCUUCCAUGACGCCCAAGACGUCAAGACCACGACUCCCGCAAAUCGCCAUGGUGUUGCCGUUCAUAAAUUUUUGGCACAUUUUCAAUUUUAGCUCUAUAAAUAGGUCCAUAAAUUCAAUUUUCACAUCCAUGUUUUUUAGAAUUUAUUUUAGGCAAAAAUUUCUUUUUAUUAAAGAGGUUAUUUUCUCAAACUGAGAGAUAUAUGCACUUUAGGUUAAGAUUCUCCAAAUAUCUAGAUUGUUUUUGGAUCAUUCAAGUUGUAAUCUUGUUCACAUUAACUUUCCAAAAAAAUUAUUCAGAAUUUAUUUUGUAUUAGAAUUGGAGCUUUUUUUAUUCUUUACGUAAUUGUUCAAUGCAUACCAGGUUCUUCUUUUACUGCUUUUAUUAAUUUAAUUUUCAGUAUAGUAUUUGUUAAUAUGUUUAGUUUUAAUUUUCAAUAUAGUAUUUAUUAUGUUUCAAUUAUGCCCGACUAAAUUUUUAGAGUUCAGAAUGCGAGGACCUUUGUCCUGACAAAGAAAUCUCCUUAUACUCCAAAACAAAUCUCACUAUACCCUCUUAUGUUUCAAACUACCACACAUUAAUACCCCCUAUUAUUUGUUAUGUUUCAAUUAUGUUUCAAACUACCACACUAAUACUCCAAAACAAAUCUCCUUAUACCCUCUUAUGUGACAAAGAACCCGACUUAAAGUUUUUUUUUAUGCUUGGUACAUGCAUCAACCUUUCAAUUACACAUAUCAAAAUUAGAAGUCAGGGCUAGAAAAUAUGCUUUCUUAGGAUACAUCCUUUCAUGAGCAUAUAAUUCCCUAUCUAGCACUUAGUACAUCUCUAACCAACAAUUGGAGCUUAUAUCCAACACAUGACUUAUCUCAACCUAUCAAACAAAUUACCACACCUGCCCAAAUACCACAAAACACCAUACCUGAAUCACAUCACAAUACUUCUCAAUCCAUAUCGUCACCAAAUCCCAAAAUUAAUCUUAAGCAUGUAUUGUUGAUGAUAGUGAUCACACAUUUUUAACUACCGAGACAUCUGUACUUCGACACAUACUCACAUGCGAUAAAAAUGAUUAAUUAAUUUAUUUAUUUAAAUAAAAAACAAAGAAAGAAAACUAAUAAAAUGUGUAAAGUGAUAACGAAGUGUAAAACAAGUGGGAGAAAAAUUAAGGUUCCAUUCUAUAUAUUUUAAAUGAAUAUACAUCAUUCAAUUUCAACCACUAGUUUCUUUUCAAAAAACCCGGAUUGGAUAAAUUGGAGCAAUUCUCACUAUAGAAAGAACUAGUUAUUGUGAGUGACAGAAAAAUGGCAUCACUGCUAUCAAACACAAGAAUAAUAAGUGCAAGAAAUGAAGUGUAUGUGGCAGCAAUGCCUCUAAGGGCUACAAAGGGUCCACCCCAAUUGCUUAUGUCUGCUGCCUAUUCCCUUAAUUUAUGGGAUUUUCAGCAUCUCAUGGUUAUCCUCAAACCUUCAUCCUCUUCACAGGUUCUGGUUUUUGAUUUUCAACCAAAAGAUCCUGAAAAUAUAUAUGUAGCCCUAUCAGCUUUAUUUGGAAGAGCUGUGCCAGGUGAGUGAGAUUUGGAAUUUAUUUAUGAUUCCUUCCAUAAAUGUUUUCACUUUCUAUAUUUAAAUCUCCAUUUCUGUUCAUAUUCUCAGGAGCUGUUCUUGUGAGGAAAUUAAACAAGCUGCCGCGAAGCAAAUGCUGGUUGGUUGGAUAUGCAGAAACAGAUGCUGUGGAAAUAGCAAAUGAAUUCAACAGAAAAUAUGAAACAGAUUUGAGAAUCGGUCUUAAUGAUUGUCGCGAUUAUACAAAUGGUAAUAAGUUAUUUAAAUAAUGAACCUUAUGCAGCAUUCAUGUGUGUUUAUGUGUUAUCCCUUAUCACUGUAUCAAUUACUCAUGCAAUAUUGCAUUAUGAAGGUUUGAUCGGGGAACUCACCGGCGAAAAAGAUGUGCUCAAACGUUUGAGAAGCCUUGGUGGAUAGAAGUACUAUGGUGCUAAUUCAUAGGGACACAAAUGGUUGGAUGAACAUCUUCUGUAUUGAAGAAUGAAAUGAGUCAAUAAAAGUUAGUUAGCAUGGUUUGGUUAGUUACAAAUUCUGUUACAGUCAGGAAGUAAAGUAGUUAUGACAGUUAUUUGGCCUUAAAGUUGCAAUCACAUAGUGCAUACUUACAGUAUAAGUGAUAGGGGUUAGGGAACUCAAUUCUCAUAGACCAUUACCUAUGUGCACAUGAAUUCAACAAUGUAGAUGUGCUUCUCAAUAACUUGCUCAAUAUUACAGACUUGAAUUGAAUGAUACUUUCUCUGAUGUGAAGACUCAUGUAUUUCUCAUGGAUCCUCUAACUUUGAUUAACCACAUUCAUUCUUUUGUUAUUCAAGAAGAAAGCAACCGCAAAAAUAUGAUUAAAAUUGAAGACAAUUCUAUUUUGGUUAAUGUUACACAAAGACCUGAUUUCAAUCACAGAAAACUUUCAUAAGAAUUCAAAUAGGGUAUGCACUUUCUUUCAUAAUAAUAGUCAUACCAUUGAUUUCUGCUAUCAAAAAUAUAGACAACAGGAACAAACCUUAUGUGAAUAUGACUCAUAUGGAUAACAUUGAAGCUCGUCAACAAGUUGAUGGAAUUGAGGUGGCUUCUUCUGUAAAGCAUCAAUAUUCCUAUUUCUCAAGCUUAAUAUGAUCAACUUGUGAACUUGCUCAAACAAGAAAACUUAACAAACUCAGAACAGACUUCAUCCCCAAACCAAAUUUCAACAAGUCAUUCACUUAUAGAAUCCACAUCAAGUAUAUUUUGUAAUAGCCUUACUAAACCUGCUAGACAAAAUAAUUAUUGGAUCUCGGACAUUGAAGCCAACGAUCAUAUGUGUGUUCAUCUUUGCCUUUAUUUAGUUCCUACUACAAAAUUAAACUUGUAUAGGUAAGUCUCUAAUGAAAAUUUUGUUCUUCUCAAAUAUGGUGGUAACAUCAAUUUCUCGAAGAGUAUGAUUGGUUUCUUAAUUAACAAGAAAAUCAUAAAGUAAAAGAAAAGAGAGAAGAAGAAGAUAAAGACAAUUUAUAGUGGUAUAAAAACUGGAUUCUUAAUUCAAUUAUACAUUAGGGAAUAAUAUUUAUAAUUGAAUCUCAACCACACUACUUUCUCCCUCUAAUUAGAAUUAUAGGGAUUGAUGGAAGAACUGAUCACUAGUAUGUUAUUUAUAAGAAAAUUAAACUCUAACUUUCAACUAACAUAAUUGGUCCAACAGACCGACCCAAUUCAACAUGUUAACUUAAACAACAAGCUAACAUAUUUCGACAGAUACUGUUGAAAAAUAUAUUAUUUUCGAUUUUAUUAUUGGCUCUAAUAUUACCUUUAUUUUUCUUUAUUCUCCAUUAAGGAGAAAAUAAAUUGUAAUAAUUGUAUCCUCACUAUAUAAACCAGCCUAAGGCUAACGAAUAAAAUAUAACAACUUUUACCUAUUUUUUCCAAUAGGGUAUCAAGACCACUGGGUUAGGGGUUACCGUAAAGUUUUCCUCAACCUAUUGUUAUUGAGUUAAGAGCACUGGGUUAUGGGUUACCGUAAAACUUUCUUCAACCUAUUUUUGUUGGAUUAGGGAUUACCAUAAAACUUUCCUCGGCAUAUUUUUGUUCGACUCGCUUUCUUACCCGACCCGAUUCACAUACCCGUUUAGCCUUCUAUGGAGAAUAACAAAAACAGGUGAUCUUCCCCCAUCACAUGUCCACACUGGAUCCAACCAUGACGAACAACUGCAGCAUGAGUCAAGUGUCUUCCGCGGAAACGGCCUACGAACUAGGAACCUUGACGAGGGAAGAAGAUCAGACAAAGUUCCUUGGUGUGAUCACUGCAAACACGAAUGACAUACAUGUGAAACUUGUUGAAAGCUCAAAGACAAACCUCCUAACUGGAAGAAGAAAAGUGGUCGUGCAUUUCAGGCUAGUAAUUCUGAUCAAGGGCAGCAACCUCUUCCGUCUCAGUUUUCAUUCACUACGGAGCACCUAGACAGACUGUACAAAUUCCUCGAGUCUCCAGCCCAUUCUUGCUCUAUAGCAACAAAAGGUAAUUCUAUAUUUCUUAGUGUCAGUCUCAGUCAUACUUGCAUAGUAGAUUCAGGUGCCUCCGAUCACAUGACAUAUGAAUCUACUUUGUUCUCUUCAUAUAGUCCAUGUGCAGGUAAUCAAAAAAUAAAAAUCGCAGAUGGCUCUUUUUCAGUCAUUGCAGGUAAAGGGUCGGUUGUGUUUUCUCCAAUGUUAACUCUUAAAAAUGUCCUUCAUGUUCCAAAUUUAUCUUGUAAUUUAAUAUCCGUCAGUAAAUUAGCCCAAGAUAUAAAUUGUCAAACUAUUUUUUUCCGAUCUCACUGUGUAUUUCAGGAUUUGAACUCGGGGAAGAUGAUUGGCAGUGCUAAGGAGAAUUGAGGACUCUACUACCUUGACAUUGGAUUUGCAUCACAACUACCAUAAAAAACAAUAAGUUCCUGUUUUGUGUUUUUUUUCUGUUUUGAAUAAUAAAGAUAACAACAAUAUGAUAUGGCAUUUAAGCAUGGACGGAGGUAGUAAGAAGAAAGGGUGGGCUCAUGCCCCCACCACGUUCAUCAUUGAUUAAUAUUUAAUAAUAUAAUUAAUAUAUUAAUAUAUUUAAUAUACUAAAAAUUAGGAAGAAAAGUUAAUAAUUUCCCCACUUGAUAAAAUGAUACGGAGUAUCACACACAUCCAUCUGCAUUUAAAAUAAAAUUAAUUCUUUAAAUAAAAUUAAAAAAAUUUAUUUCUUUUCAUGUUCCUAUUAAUUCUCUUUUACUGUUUCCAAAUAGAAACAAACUGAUGGGAAAUUCAACAACAAAUAACAAUAACAACUCUAACAGAGCAAUAUGCAGCGGAUAAUCAAUUUCCCAAACUUGCAAGAAUCUGUGAGGAGCAACAACAAAUAAUCACGGCAACUAAAAUCAAGAGCAAUAUGCAGCGGAUAAUCAAUUUCCCAAACUUGCAAGAAUCUGUGAGGAGCAACAACAAAUAAUCACGGCAACUAAAAUCACCACCACAAGGGACACAAUAAUUUUUAACGUGGAAAAAUCUUCUCAAUGUGAGAAGUAAACAACCACGGGACCAAGCUAGUAAUAGAGCUCCACUAUGAUCAAAAUAUGGGUACAAGAGAGUUUUAAAUAUGGCACAAAUUCGUGCUCAAUAACCAACCAAAAACAGCAAGGUAACCAGUAUAACAAUCAGCCAAAACAAUGAGAAAACAAGCAUGAAAUUGAGAACAAAGUUCAGCAGAAAAACCAAAAAAUACUGCUACUGUCCGAGCUCGAUUUCUCCCACCUCAGACCUCUGAUCGAUGAUCCAACCGGUCAGAUUGAAGUACCAUGAGUCACGAACCUGCUGUCCAAAUUUCAUCCCGAUUCGACGGUGAAUGAAGGAGAAAUCGCGAAUCUAGUGCAGCUGCUCUGUUUUAUGCGAAAAUGGGUUUUGCUCUUCCUCUCUCACUUUUCUCUUGCCUCACUCUUUCAAUUCAGCUCUCUCACUCUCACUAAUCUGACCUCUCUCCACUUGGUUAAGUGAGACACAUGGGCUUGUACAUAUUGGGUCUUUCUCCACAUAGGAAGGGAGCCUAAAACCCAACAUAUCUCCCCCUCACAACUAUGUGGAGGUGACCGCCAAACCGGCGAUCUCACAGCAAGUUUCAAACUUGUUUCUCGGUAAUGCCUUGGUCAUCAUAUCAGCAUCAUUAUCAUCUGUAUGAACCUUGGCCAAUUCCAACAACCCAACAUCCAAAGCAUCACGUAUCCAAUGAUACCUAACAUCAAUGUGCUUGGACCUAGAAUGAAAAGUUGAAUUCUUACCAAGAUGAAUUGCACCUUGACUAUCACAAAAUAGCAAGUACUUAUCUUGAACAAAACCAAGCUCCUACAAGAAUUUCUUCAACCAUAACAAUUCCUUGCGUGCUUCUGUAAUGGCAAUGAACUCUGCCUCAGUAGUGGACAAUGCAACACACAUCUGCAAUCUGGAUUGCCAUGCCACAGCUCCCCCUGCAAACUUAAUCAAGUAGCCUGAAGUAGACUUUCUGGAAUCAAUGUCUCCAGUCAUAUCAGAAUCAGUAUAUCCCACAAGAGUAGGCUUAUCACCUCCAAAACAAAGCCUCAAACUGGUAGUAUCACGAAGAUACCUCAAAAUCCAUUUCACAGCAUUCCAAUGCUCUUUACCUGGAUUAGACAGAAAUCUACUAACUGUACCAACAACAUGUGCAAUAUCAAGCCUUGUACACACCAUUGCAUACAUUAAACUACCCACAACAGAUGCAUAAGGAACUCGUUGCAUAUUUGAUUUUUCAGCUUCAUUGGAAGGACUCUGACUAAUACUCAAUUUAAAAUGAGUAGCAAGAGGAGUACUUACAGCCUUAGCAUUUUCCAUCUGGAACCUCUGUAACACUCUUUCAACAUAGUGUUCUUGUGACAACCAAAGUUUCUUCUUGUUCCUGUCACGCAUGAUUCUUAUACCAAGAAUCUGCUUAGCAGCUCUCAUGUCUUUCAUGGCAAAUGACUCGCCAAUUGCUUCUUCAACCUGUCAAUCAUGGAAAUAUUUUUCCCAACAAUAAGCAUGUCAUCAACAUACAAUAACAGGAUAAUGAAAUCAUCAUCAGCAAACUUUUUAACAAAGCACAUUAUCAGAAGUAGUCUUCUUGUAGCCUUGCUCCACACAUAACUGACUCAAACUUCUAGUACCACCGACGCGGGCCUGCUUCAAACAAUAUAGACUCUUUCUCAGCCUACACACAUAGUUCCUUGCUUUAACCAGAAAGCCUUCAGGUUGCUUCAUGUAAAUCUCUUCCUCCAAGUCACCAUGAAGGAAGCGGUUUUGACAUCCAUUUGCUCUACCUCCAAAUUAAGAGUAGCAGCCAAACUCAACACGGUUCUAAUGGAUGACAUCUUCACCACAGGAGAAAAAAUCUCAUUGAAAUCAACACCCUUUCUCUGUCUGAAACCUUUCACAACCAAUCUCGCUUUAUACCUUGGAGAUGUAGAAGUGCUUUCUUGCUUCACCCUGAAGAUCCACCUGUUUUCUAAAGCCUUCUUGCCCUUAGGCAAUUUCACCAAAUCAAAAGUGUGAUUAUCAUGCAAAGACUUCAUUUCAUCUUGCAUAGCAUCCAGCGACUUCUUCUUUUCAUCACUCUCUAUGGCUUCAUCAUAACAUUCAGGUUCUCCUUCAUCAGUCAAGGUAACAUAUUCAUCAGAAGGAUACCUGGUGGGUGGUUUCCUCUGCCUAGUAGACCUCCAAACUUGAGCUUGAGGGAGUUCAGGAGCAUCACCAAGAUCCUCAUCUUGUGACAUUUCAUGUUCCUCUUCAUCAUCAUCAUUAGGAACAUCAAAAUCAUCUCCAAGGUGCUGAUCACCAACAUCAUCAUGUUGCUCAUCAUUCUGAACAUUAUUUUCAGCAGUAUCCAGAUCAUGUAUAGGCAUCCGAACUGGAUCAACAUCAGACAAACCAUUAUCAAUCUCAGGUGUAGUCUAAUGUAUAGGCAUCCGAACUGGAUCAACAUCAGACAAACCAUUAUCAAUCUCAGGUGUAGUCUUCUCCAUCUUAUCAAUGUCUUCAAUGGUUUGGUCUUCCAUGAACUUCACAUCACGGCUUCUAACAGCUUUCUUCUCAACUAGAUCAUACAUCUUGUACCCAAAUUCAUCCUGACCAUAACCGAUAAAGAUGCAAUGUCUUGUCUUCGCAUCCAACUUGGAUCUCUCAUCCUUUGGAACAUUCACAUAUGCUUUGCAACCGAAGACACGCAAAUGAUCAUACCUGACAUUCUUGCCAAACCAAAUCUUGUCUGGCACCUCAGCAUUCAAAGCAACUGCAGGACUCAGAUUAAUAACAUGCACUGCCAUGUACAAUGCUUCACCCCAGAAAUGCUUAGGCAAGUUUGCUUCAGAAAGCAUACACCUAACUCUUUCAAUCAAUGUCAUGUUCAUUCUCUCUGCUAAACCAUUCAGCUGAGGAGUUUUAGGAUGAGUCUUUUCAUGUCUGAUAUCGUGCUGCUUCCAAUAAACAUCAAAUGGUCCACAAUACUCACCACCAUUGUCAGUACGAAUGCAUUUCAGCUUCUUGCCUGACUGUCUCUCCACCAUAAUAUGGAACUCUUUGAAUUUCUCCAGAACUUGGUCUUUUGUCUUCAAAGCAUAGACCCAAAGCUUCCUGGAACAAUCAUCAAUAAAAGUAACAAAAUAAAGUGCACCACUAAAUGACUUUACCUUCAACGGGCCACAAACAUCAGAAUGCACCAAUUCAAGCAACUCUGACUUCCUUGAGGGAGGAUGUUUCUUGAAGGAUACUCUAGUCUGCUUACCAUCCAUGCAAUGAGAACAUUUCUCCAACUCUGCACUCUUUAAUCCCGGAAGUACAUCCUUUUUAGCUAAACAAUUCAGCCCCUUUUCACUGAUAUGACUAAGCCUACGGUGCCACAAAGAAGCCUCCAUAUCCAUGGCAUUCACACUGUCUUUAGCAACCAAUGCUUUAGUCCAAUACAGUUUAUUAAUUUUCUCCCCUCUGGCCACAACUAAGUUACCUCUGGUGAGUUUCCAUUUUCCUGAACCAAAGUGAUUAUGAUAACCACCAUCAUUAAGCAUCUGCAUAGAUAUCAAAUUAAAGCGAACAUCUGGAGCAUGUUUGACUCCUCUAAGCAACAACUGCACUCUCAUGUUGGUCUGCAAACAAACAUCACCAAUACCAACUACCUUGGACACACCAUCAUUACCCACCUUCAACACUCCAAAGUCACCAGAAGUGUAAGAUGUGAAGAACUCCUUUCUUGGUGUAACAUGCAGUGUAGCACCACUAUCAAUAAUCCACAUGCUCUCAUCUGAUACAAGAUUUACUGAAUCAUAGUCAUGGAGAAUAAUCAGAUCAUCACAAGUAGCAGUAGUAACACGGUCAUAAUCAUCAUGAUUCUUAUCUCUCUACUUACUGUUAUUAUUUUUUCUCUCCCUUUUCCAUAUGAAACAGUUCCUUUGUAUAUGCCCCAUUUUGUGACAAUAAUUGCACUCCACAUUCUUGUAUCUGGACUUUGACUUGCUUCUGUUGUUCUCUCUACUCGCACUUCUGCUAUUCUGUCUGUUCCCUUUCGGUUCCUUUCUUUGACUUCGGCCCUGUUCUCAGUGACAAGUACCUCGGAAUGAGAUGAAGUACCUUGUGCCUUCCUUCUCAUCUCCUCAUUAAGAACACUUCCCUUUACACUUUGCAAAGAGACAACACCAUUAGAAGCUGAGUUUGUAAUUGAAACCCAAAAAUUUUCCCAAGAAUCUGGUAGAGCAUUCAGUAGCCAUAAUCCCAACACUUCAUUAUCAAAUUUGAUACCCAUACCUAACAAUUGAUCUAGGAGCCCUUGAAAAUCAUUUAAGUGAUCUGAAAUAGAAGCCCCCUCCUUGUACCUCAAAUUCAUCAAGGAAUUCAACAAAUACAACUUAUUAUUCCCUGAUUUAGAAGCAUACAAAGAUUCAAUCUUCUUCCACAAGGAUCUUGCAUGUUCCUCAUUAGCAAUGUGAUAUAAACAUUGUCUUCUACAUAUUCCGAAUAAAACCACAAACCUGCUGAUGUUCAAAACUCCAAUCCUCAUCAGUCUUGGAUUCGGCUUCUCAAACACAGGAAGAUGCAAAUUCUUCACAAAUAACAUAUCCUUCAUUUUUCCCUUCCACAAGUGAUAAUUAGAGCCAUUCAAACAGAUCAUUCUAUUUGUAUUUGCCUCCAUCAUUCAAACAAGUCAAAACAUCCCCUUAACCAAAGAGCUCUGAUGCCACUCUGAUGGGAAAUUCAACAACAAAUAACAUAAACAACUCUAACAGAGCAAUAUGCAGCGGAUAAUCAAUUUCUCAAACUUGCAAGAAUCUUGUGAGGAGCAACAACAAAUAAUCACGGCAACUAAAAUCACCACCACAAGGGACACAAUAAUUUUUAACGUGGAAAAACCUUUUCAAUGUGAGAAGUAAACUAACCACGGACCCAAGCCAGUAAUAGAGCUCCACUAUGAUCAAAAUAUGGGUACAAGAGAGUUUUAAAUAUGGCACAAAUUCGUGCUCAGUAACCAGCCAAAAACAGCAAGAUAACCAGCAUAACAAUCAGCCAAAAUAAUGAGAAAAUAAGCAUGAAAUUGAGAACAAAGUUCAGCAGAAAAACCAUAAAAUACUGCUACUGUCCGAGCUCAAUUUCUCCCACCUCAGACCUCUGAUCGAUGAUCCAACCGGUCAGAUUGAAGUACCAUGAGUCACGAACCUGCUGUCCAAAUUUCAGCCCGAUUCGACGGUGAACGAAGGAGGAAUCGCGAAUCUAGUGCAGCUGCUCUAUUUUAUGCGAAAAUGGGUUUUGCUCUUCCUCUCUCACUUUUCUCUUGUCUCACUCUUUCAAUUCAACUCUCUCACUCUCACUAAUCUGACCUCUCUCCACUUGGUUAAGUGAGACACAUGGGCUUGCACAUAUUGAGUCUUUCUCCACAUAGGAAGGGAACCCAAAACCCAACACAAACCACUUUUCAUAUUCUUCUUUCUCCCACUCCUUAUUCUCUCACUACAAAAGUGUCUCUCUGUUUCUAGCUUCUUCUCCAUUGUUGUACUUUUAAAAGGUCAAUUUUUUAAUUUUAAUCUUUAUAAAUUUAUAAUUUAUUUUUAUUAUUGUAAUAAGAGUAAAAAAUAUAUUAUUACUUUCUUGAGCCUGAGAUUGUGUUAAUGGCAGAAAAUUUAUUUUUAGAGUUUUGUAGUGUUUGUUUGAAAUUAUUGUGUUUGUAUCAAUUUUAUAGUAUUGUUAUGAAUUUUUUGAAUAUGAUUUUAAUUGUGAUUUUUUGUUUUGUUUUUAGUAAUAAACAAUGGAAAAAUAUUUCAAAAUAAAAUCAAUAGAGGAAUCAUCAACUCCUAAUCCUCAAACGCCUAAUGAACGUCGAAGCCCAAAACUGGGUCCUCCCAUGAAAAAAAAGGUUUUUGGAGUUUGAAUUGGAAAAACUUUCGAACGAUCCCGGUUUAAGGCCAAAAAUGUCAGAUUAUCAUCCAAGUGAUAUAGAUGAAAUUAGAAGAUAUUAUUUGCAAAAGGGUCCUCGUCAACCAAAAGAAAUUACUUUUUCACAAAGAAAAUUUUGACCCCGUUACUCAAAAUUUCUGGCUCCGUCCUUGCAUUUAAGAUUAGGUCAUCCUAGUUUUCGUUACUUAAAACACUUGUUUCCUAAAUUAUUUCACAAUAAAAACUUAUUCGUUUAAAUGUGAAGCAUGUGAAUUUGCAAAGCAUCAUUAUUCCCAAUUUUCAAUACAGCCUUAUAAACCAUCAAAACCUUUUUCCAUUAUUCAUAGUGAUGUUUGGGGCCCUAACCGUACAAGUACACUCUCUCUCAAAAAAUGGUUUAUCACCUUUAUAGAUGAGCAUACAAGAGUAUGUUGGGUGUACUUGUUAAAGGGAAAAUCAAAUGUUUGUCAGGUUGUAAAGAAUUGUUUUUCAAAGAUGCAGAACCAAUUUCAAACAAAUAUCCAAGUCUUUAGAAGUGAUAAUGGUAAAGAAUAUUUUAACACUAUCCUGGGUGAUUUUUUUCUAAAAAAUGGGAUUGUACAUCAAAGUUCUUGUCCUAAUACUCCUCAACAAAAUGGAGUGGCCGAAAGGAAAAAUAGACAUUUACUAGAGGUUGCUAGAGUUCUACUUUUUUCAAAUAAAGUACCAAAUUAUUUAUGGGACGAAGUUGUUUUAACAGCUGCGUAUUUAAUUAACAGAAUGUCCUCCAAAAUUCUCAAUUUUCAAACUCCUAUUAAUGUCUUCAAAGAAUGUUUUCCUAGUACUCGUGUUUUAACUGAUUUGACUUUAAAAAUCUUUGGUUGCACAAUCUUUGUUCAUGAACAUAAAAAUGUUGGAAAACUUGAUCCACGUGCUAUAAAAUGUGUUUUUGUUGGAUACUCCCUAACCCAAAAAGGAUAUAAAUGUUUUGAUCCAAAAAAUAAGAAAAUGUUUAUCACUAUGGAUGUUACAUUCUUUGAAAAUAAACCUUUCUUUUAUGAUACUCAUCUUCAAGGGGGGAGAUAAACGGAGACUCGUUUAAAAUUGAGGACAUGAGUUUUUUAAAUAACCUAUCUUUGCCAGUAUCACAAAAUUCUAAGAUUUUUACACCUGCACCAACAGAAAAUGGCCAUGAUUCUUUAUUUGAUCCUACUCUUGUUAUAAGUAAGGAACCUUGUGAAUCUGAGUCUAUAUUUUCUCUUAUAGAAAAUAAUGAGAAUCCUGAAAACAAUUAUAAUGAUGAUCUAAUUGAAAUGCCAUAAAAUAAUGAGUCAUUUCAACAAAACAAAUUUGAAUUAGGAAACAGGAAUUGGAAAGGAAAGGUUUUUGUGAAAAAGCAUCAUAAAGGAAAGGACCAGUGGAGGGAAGUUGUAGAAAUUCUAAAAAGUGUACAGGUUGUUCUAGAAAUUCCAAAGUGGAGGGAAGUUGUACUUGAGGAGAUGAAAGCUCUUGAAAAGAAUAAAACUUGGAGUGUUACGUCACUACCAGAUGGCAAGAAGACAGUUGGAUGCAAAUGGGUGUUUACUGUGAAGUAUAAUUCAGAUGGAUCAAUUGAAAGGUACAAGGCUCGCUUGGUGGCUAAAGGCUUUACUCAUACCUAUGGUAUAGAUUACUCAGAGACAUUUGCUCCCGUUGCAAAAUUGAACAUUGUCAGAAUUUUUUUGUCUCUUGUUGCUAACAUGGAUUAGCCUUUGCAUCAGUUAGAUGUUAAGAAUGCAUUUCUUAAUGGCGAUCUAGAAGAAUAAGUAUAUAUGGACAUUCCUCCUGGCUUUGAAAACAAAGUUGGAUCAAAUGUGUGCAAACUAAAUAAGUCUUUGUAUGGAUUAAAGCAGUCCUCUAGACCUUGGUUUGAAAAGUUCACCCAGUCCAUGAAGAAACAAGGGUACAUCCAAGGACGGGCUGAUCAUACCUUGUUCACAAAAUUCUCCCACGAUGGAAAAGUUAUUGUCCUGAUUGUUUUUGUUGAUGAUAUUGUCCUUACUGGAGACGAUACAGCGGAAAUGACAAGAGUAAAAGAGAAAUUGGCAGUAGACUUUGAAAUCAAGGACCUGAGAUUCAUGAGAUAUUUUCUAGGUAUGGAGGUUGCUCGGUCAAAAAAUGUAUUGUGGCUUUACAACAAAAAAACAUUAUAAACUUGUUGAAAGAAACAGGAAUGAGUGGAUGUCGUUCUGUAGAUACCCAUAUGGAUCCUAAUGCUAAACUUUGGGGAGAAGGUAAUGUUUUUGUUGAUACUGGGAGAUAUCAGAGAUUGAUUGGGAAACUGAUUUAUUUGUCACACACUCGACCUGAUAUUGCUUUCUCAGUUAGUGUAGUGAGUCAGUUUAUGCAUUCUCCUUUCGAGGAACAUCUUGAGGCAGUCUAUAGGAUACUGAGUUAUUUGAAGGGAAAUCCUAGAAAAGGAUUAUUUUUUAAGAAGACUAGUGAAAGAAAUGUGUCUAUCUUCACCGAUGUCGAUUGGGCAGGUUCAGUCAUAGAUAGAAGAUCAACCUCUGGAUAUUGUACCUAUGUUUAGGGUAAUCUUGUGACAUGGAGGCGCAAGAAACAAGGAUUUGUAGCAAGGAGUAGUGCAGAGGCCGAGUUUAGAGCUAUGUCUCAAGGUAUUUGUGAAGGAUUAUGGAUCCUUAGAGUCCUAGAAGAACUCAAGAUGAAAAUUGAGCUUCCAUUGAAAUUGUACUCUGAUAGUAAAGUUGUUAUUAGCAUAGCUCAUAAUCCAGUUCAAUAUGACAGAACCAAGCAUAUCGAGAUUGAUCGACACUUCAUAAAGGACAAGUUAGACGCGGGAAUCAUAUGUCUACCCUUCGUGACUUCAAGUCAACAAACUGCGGAUAUCCUAACCAAAAGUUUGACAAGACCUACUUUUGAGUAUUUGAUACACAAGUUGGGCAUGAUAGAUAUAUAUGCACCAACUUGAGGGGGGGUGUUGGAAAAUAUAUUAUUUUCGGUUUUAUUAUUGGCUUUAAUACUACCUUUAUUUUUCUUUAUUCUCCAUUAAGGAGAAAAUCAAUUGUAAUAAUUGUAUCCUCAUUAUAUAAACCAUCUUAAGGCUGGUGAAUAAAAUAUAACAGAUUUUACCUAUUUUUUUCCAAUAGCUACACUAGCUCUUUGACUUCGACAGAGCUCUUCGACUUCAACUGAAUUUGCUACAACACUAGCUUAUAACCCAUAAGCUGCAAAUAUUCACCUUGGAACGAUUUUUGAACCAUGAAACCAACUAGCUGUCAUCAUGCAGUCCUAUCAGCGACAUACAGUGGAAAAACUUGCAACUUGGUAAUGUCUUGGUGAUCAUAUCAACAACAUUGUCAUCAGUAGAAACUUUUAGCAUUUGGACUUCUCCACACUCGAUUAUCUCUCUGACGAAAUGUAGCCUCACAUCAAUGUGCUUGGUUCACUCAUGAUAGGAUGAAUUCUUCGACGUGUGUAUUACACUUUGACUAUCAAGUUUAACAAUGAUUGAUUGAACUUGAAGUUUGAGCUCCUUAGCAAAAACUUCAAGCCACAAUGCUUCUUUCAUAUCAUUGGUGAGGUAAAUAUACUUCGCUUCAAUGGUUAAUAAUGUAACAACCUUAUGAAGUGUUGCUUUCCAACUGAUUGUUGUGCCAAAUAUAGUGAACAUGUAUUCAGAAAUAGAUUUUCUAGAAUCCAUACAAUCUGCAUAAUCAGAGUUGACAAAUCCUUUGAUUUUGACUUUGCUAUCAUCACCAUAGGCUCCACCAUAAAUCAGGACUCUGCUCAGAGACCCAUUUAUGUACCUUAGAAUCCACUUUAAUGCUUGUCAGUGCGCCUUCUCAGGAUUGGCCAUAUACCUGCUUACAAGGAUCAUUUCAUAUGCUAUGUCUAGCCUUGUACAUACCAUAACAUACAUCAAAGAACCUAUUAUACUAGCAUAUGGAAUACUAUUCAUAUAGGCUCUUUCGAUUUCAGUACUAGGACUUUGAGUCGUACUUAACUUGAAUUGAGGAUUAGUCGGUGUUACAACAGGUUUUGAAUUCGACAUACCAACCUUAUCGAGAAUCUCCUUCAGGUAUGUCUCUUGAGAUAAGCAUAAUCUUGACUUCUUUCUAUCUCUCUGGAUGUCAAUCCCAAUAAUCCUGGAGGUAGCUCCUAGAUCUUUUAUGUCGAACUCCUUAUUGAGUCAUGCGUUCACCUUUACCACAAUCUCAACACUGUUUCUUGUUAUGCGGAUGUUAUCCACAUAAAGCAACAUAAUUUUAAGUAAACACAGUGGUCAAAUUGGAUCCUAGUGAAACCUAUGUGUGCCAUGAAUUUGUUAAAUCUCCUAUUCCAUUGUCGAGGAGAUUGUUUCAGGCCAUAUAACGACAUAUUCAACUUACACACAUAAUCUUCCUUUCCUUUUUUUGCAUGCUCUUCAGGUUGCCUCAUCAUAAUUGUUUCAUCUAGAUCACCAUACAAGAAAUGAGUAUUCACAACCAUCCAUUCUAAUUCUAGGUCAAACUUUUCCACCAUGGCUAACAAUGUUCUGAUGGAUCUAUGCUUUACAACAAUUGAGAACACAUCAUUAAAGUCGACUCCUUCUUUCUGAGUGAACCCACUAGAAACCAAUAUUUCCUUAAAUCACUUCGAAAUCACUCAUUUGAUUCCUUCUUUAACCUUAAAGUUCUACUUACAACUGACUAACUUGGCCCUUGCAGGUUUCUCGAUCAGCUCUUAAGUGUUAUUAUCAUGAAGAGAUUCCAUAUCAUCAUCCAUGGCUUUCAUCCAUUAAGUCCUAUUUCAAAUCCUCAUAGCUUCAUUGUAGUCUCUUGGUUCUUCAUCCAGAACCUAAUUUGUAGAUAUUAAGGCAUAAGUUAUGACAUCUGCAUAACCAAGUCUCUGAGGUGGCUUGAAGACUCUUCUCGAUUUGUCUCUUGCCAGCCGAUAGUCAUUUUCAGUCUCUUCAUCUUCAUCAACAAAUUGGACUUGUUCUGUGACUUCAUCUAGGUUAUGCAAUUCAACAUAACUAUGCUCCACAUCAACAAGAAUCUCUUCUUGUUCUAUCUCUUCUCCAGAGAUCUUUGUACUUCCACCAACGUGAUCAAUUUUCUUGAAAUCCAUCUCAACUUAAUUGAAAACUACAUCUCAAUUUUUGAUACACCUCAUAUGACCUGGCUCUAGGCACCACAACCUAUAAGAUUUGACUCCUUUAGAGUAUCCAAGGAAGAUACAUCUCAAAGCUCUAGGUUUGACAUUGUAUUGCCUAAUGUGAGCACAUGCUACACAACCAAAUUAGAUGGAUGCCUCGACUAGAUUUCUUCAGGUGUCUUCAUCCCCAAGGAAGUCGAGGGACACCUAUCUAUCAAGUAUGCUACUGUUGUAGCCGCCUCAGCCCAAAACACAUUCUUUGAUUAAACCUUUCAGCCAAACCAUUUUGUUGGGGACUGCAUGCACUAGUUUUGUGAUUUGCAAUGAUAUACGCGUCAUAACUGUCGAAAGCCUCAUUACAAAAUUUAAGACCAUUGUCAGUCCUCAACCUCUUAACCUUCCUGCCAGUUUGGUUUUCGAUCAGAGUCUUCCAACUUCUGAAAUUUUUAAAAGUUUCAUCCUUAGUCUUCUAUAUGAAUACCAAUAACUUUAUAGAAUAAUCAUCAACUAUGGAUAGAAAAUACUUUUCACCUGAGUGUGAAGGAUUCAUUGCAGACCUCCAAAGAAAUGUAGUGACUACACAACAUGGCCUUGUCUUUUCCUUCAUUUUUUCCACGAAUUUUAUAGCUUACCUGGACAACAAAACUCAUGACUGCAUCAAUCUCUUCUUUUCCACAAGUUAUGGUACGCACUCACUUUUCCUGCAUGAGGACAUAGUUAACUCUGUUAAGCGCGGGAAAGGGAUCUUGAGUGAGCAGAUUUGAUCUCAUUGUUCCAUACAUUGUGUCAUCGAGUCCCACGAGGAACUGAUGCACUCUUUCUUCUUCACGUUUCAUUUCAAAGCAUAAUUCCAAACAAGCGCACUUUCCACAAGUUGAUAUUUGCUCAUAAUUUGCUAAUUCCUCCCACAACUUUUCCAAUCGACCAAAAUAGAUCACAAUAGUUAAUCCUUUCUAUUUGCAGUUUAGCUGUUGUAUACGCGGACCAUUGACAACUGAAAACCUCUCUUUGAUAUCUAUCCAAAGAUCAUGUGCUACCUCCAUGUGUGACAUGGUGGAACAUAACGGGGCUCAAUGAUAUUCAUUAUCCACGAGACUAAUAACGAGUUAUUCGUCCACCCAUCUUCCCAUCUUCAAGAUCCGAUGAAUCUUCAUCUGGUUUCUUGAUAGUUCCAUCUACAAAACCAAAUUUCUUUUUGGAUCUCAACAUAGUUCGGAGUGAGCGCACCCACUCAUUAUAGUUUUCUCAUUUCAAUUAGACUUGUAUCACCAAACUUCCAGGAUUGUCAUUUGGUGUUAUGUCGUAGGGAGAAAUGGUAUUUCUUACAUGGUUUUGUUUUCUUCUCCAGCUAUGGUAACAAGAAACGAGACAACCAAUUUCUUAGAUCAGGAUUUGCUUUAAUACCAUUAAGAAACGAAUAAAGGUGAAUAGUGUGUUUUCUAUUGAUUCUAAAUCAUAUAUUUAUACAAUAAAACUAUGAUCUAUUUUCCUAAAAUAUCAAGUUAUACUUAUGUUAAUCAGAAUUACUUUACAAAUAUUCAUUAUGACAAGAUGAAAUAUGAUUCUAUUUAAUAUAGCAACUUAAUAUAUAAGAUCAAAUAUGAUUAUAUUUAAUAUAUCAACUUAAUAGUUCACAUUUGAUUAUUAUUUUUAGGACGUUCAGUUUUUUUAAAAAUAUUUGAUCUAACAUAUUUUUUUACUAAUCUUCUAUUUACAAGUCACAUUUUAUGAACAUUAUAGAUGAUAUUUUGUUUAAUUUCAUAUAGUGUAUAAAAUAUUUAUUUGGAGAGUAUAAGUAUUUAUUUUAUAUACAAACUACAAUCCAUUAAAAUAUAGCCAAUUAAAAAACUUAAAACCUUUACCCUAAGUAAAUUGAAAAUUUUGAUAAAGUUUUCUUUUUAAUAAAAUAACAUUCAUCUAGCAUUACUAUCAUUUAUUUAUUAAUGUCACAAAUUUUCACUUAAACCUAUUUAUUUCUAUCAUUCAAUCAAAAAUGUAAAGUUUUUUCUUAAUUAUAAUUAUUACGACCAUUAAAAACAUAUAUAUUCACUACUAAAAAAUCCACAUAAAAAAUCACAAUUAAAUAAUCAUCAUUAAAAAUAAAACACUAAAUACAGUUCAAGAUUAAAGGAAAUAUAUAUUCAUGAAUAAGAUAAUUGAUAUCAAUGAAAGAAUUGUUAAAACAGAAACACUAAGGUAUACUUAUGUAAAAUCACACUAUUUUAUUUAAUACUGAAACAUGGCUUAAAUAGCCUACAAAAUGAAAACUGAAAUAGUAAAAAUAACUGCAGAAAAAUAGGAACAAAACGUAGAGAGAAAAGACUGAAACAAACUCCUACUAACCCACUAAAAUAGAACGUGCUCAACACCUCCUAAAAGCACUAGGUUAAUUUAAAUCACUAACAGAAAUCCUAAAUUGUAGCUAGUACACUAACACAUCAGAUCCAACAAUUCCUCCCUUUAAACUGGAAAUGCUAAUCAAGCAUCCAGUUUAAUGUUCUCGAACUUGUAUCCCAAGCAAGCUUCUUAGCUUAACAAAUGUCUCCAAUUUUACUGGUUUAGUCAUGAUAUCUGCCACCUGCUCUUCAGUCCCACAAAACACUAGCUUCACAACUUCUUGACUUAUAAGAUCACGUAAAUAAUGAUACCUCACAUCUAUAUGUUUUGUCCUCUUAUGCAUCACUGGAUUUUUUGAGAGUUUAAUGGAGGAACUAUUAUCGCAUAAGAUCUCGAAGCACUGACAAGGCUUUGGUGCUGAACUGUUAAAGAAUUCCUUUCACCCAAACACAGUGGCAAGCACAGGAUGUUGGCAGCUACACUCAGCUUCGGUCGAGGAUAAAGUGACUAUAGCUUGUUUCGUGAACUCAACACACAGCUGCUUUUAGUAGAAAUACAUAUCCUGACGUGCUCUUCCUGUCGUAUAUAUCUCCGACAUAAUCGCUAUCAGUAUACUUUGGUAUUGAUCAGAUCCCGCUUAUAGAAGAGACCAAAUCCAGAGUGCCCCUUAAGUACCUUAAGCCUCUUAGCAAUUUGCAUAUGCUCUUCUCUAGGUUUGGCCAUGAAACGAGAUAUUAAACAUACCACAUACAUCAUAUCAGGUCUGUGACUGUUAAUACAUAGGCAGCCCACAGUUGCUUGUAUUAGUUAGGCCAUCCACAUCUUGCCUUCUCUUCAAUUGAGUUUGUCCCUGGUACUAUAGAUUUUGACAGGAUGCAAUUCCAUUAUCUUGAAUCUUCAACGCACUUCCUGUAGCAUACUUCUUCUCUGACAUAGAUGGAUUCCCUUCAUGCUUUGAUGUACUUCAACACCAAGAAGAAACUUCAUCCUCCCUAGAUCAGUCAUCUCGAAUUCUUGUUUCAUUGAUUGCUUAAACUCUCACACAUCACAUCAUUCCCAAACAAAAUUAAAUACACACAUAAACUUACCAUAAGCAAUUUUUCUCCAACACUCUUGUUGAAUAAAGUGUGAUCAUGGUUGCUUUUCUCAAGCCCUUAUGUCUGAAAUAACUUUCAAUUCGACUAAACCAUGCCUAGGAGCCUGUUUAGGCCGUAAAAGCUUUGUUAAGUCGAUAAACUUUGUUCUCACCUUUCUGACAAAUCCUCUGGUUGAUCCACAUACACAACUCCUUUAGCUCCCGUACAAGAAGACACUUUACAUCCAACUGAUACACUGUCCAUCCUUUUUGUGCCAGCACAGCGAGCAUAAUUCUUAUAGUGUCUCAUCGAGCAACUGGAGCAAAACUUCAUCAUAAUCGAUCCCUUCCUUUUGAGCAUACCCUUUUACACCACCUCGCCUUGUAUUAUCGACCCGUCCAUCCUCAUUUAGUUUUUUUUGAAACAACCAUUACCCCGUAUUUUUGCUCGAGCCGGAGAACCACAAGCUCCCAAGUAUUGUUCUCCAUCGUAGCUUGUAAUUCACGCUUCAUUGCCUUCUAUCCAUUUAUCUUCUUGGUCGCCUCCUACAAAAUUUGGGAGGAUCAUUGUGAAAAAAACAGCACCAUACUGCGCCUAUUUCUUCUUCCGAAAAUUAUGCUCCACUCUCAUAGUCAUGCAUCCACGCGGGUCUCUUCGUCUUUUUGAGCUUUCGAUCAAAAGUACUUGGUGCAUCAGAAUUUUCAGAAUCUGGCUCAACUGUUGCAGGUUGUUUCUUCUUAGUUGUUCUUCGCGGUCAGCCUCCACCUCUUCUUCGUGUUCUCCCUCAGUUGUUACUUCCUUCAUCAUUGCAAGCCAGAAUAUCAGAUUUGACUCGGUUCCGCUGUUUCCAGUCCCAUUUCCUUCCUCUCGAAUAUAACAUCUCGAUUAAUACUAUUUUAUUUGAUAUUGGAUCAAAUAGUCGAUACGCCUUGAUUCCUCGUGAUCCGAGCAGAAUGCAUUGUGACUUAUAUUAUGUUUUAUCCUAUGUUGUUCAGGAUGUGUACCUAGCAAUGCAGCCAAACACCUAAAAUGAUCAACACUUGGUGUUGACCCCAUUCCAACACUCUUCUGGCACCAUGUCAUUUACAGCACUUGUCUACUCCUAUUUAGCACAUGCGUGUCCAUCUUGGCAGCUUCAGGCCAAAUUUCUUUGGCAUUUCUUCUCUGUGAGCAAACAUCGCAACCAUAUUAUUUAUGGUAUUGAUUUCUCUUCUUUCAGCUACUCCAUUUUGUUGUGGAGUUAGGCAGCGGUUAAUUGUCGUCUAUCCCAUGUUCCUCGCAGAAUGGUUGAAGGAGGUUUGAGUGAAUUCUCCUCCCCCUAUCUGUCCUUAAACAGCAUAUAUACUUUCCAUUUUUCGACACGACUUUUGACCUUUUAAACAAUGUCAAAGUUCACUCUUUUUCUGUACAAGAAAGUAUAUCAAGUCUGUGGGAAAAUCAUAAAUAAGAACUACAUGUACCUUUUACACUAUGACAUGUUAAGAGAUAUAGGACACUAAAUCUCUGCAUGCAACUAGUUCGGAGUUUGUUCAUGAGUCUUUCCACUUUGCCUCUUUUUGAUAUAAAUUCUCGAUGUUGCUUCCCAACAUUACAAACUUCACAUACCCCGUCUGCACUUUUGAGUUGUGGUAACCCUUUGACCAUUCCUUUAUACUGCAUGGUGUGAAUGGCUUUGUUGUUUAAAUGCCUAUAGCGCUUGUGCCAGAGGUUUUCAACUUCCCCUCCUUCUACCUUCAUGCACUUGCUCGAGAGAGGUUUCCUAAAUGCAAACACAAUGAACAGUCGAUUCGCACUCAUUCUAGUGUUCAUAAUUAGGCCUCUUUGAGGAUGGUAAACUUUGCACAUCGCUCCUUUAAUACGAAUAUCUACUCCCUUCUCUUGUAGUUGCCCAAUGCUUAAAAGGUUGCUGGAUAAUUUUGGAACAAAGAAAACAUCAGAUAUCAAUUGAGUUAUGCCCUCAACUUCAAAUCUGAUAUUUCCUUUUCCCAUAAUAGCCAACUUUGAGUUAUUUCCCAAUUUUACAGUGUGCCUGAAGCUCUCAUUUAUUUCACAGAACCAGCCUUUGUUACCUGUCAUGUUGUUUGAACAACCAGAAUCAAGAAACCAAACUCCCUUGUGUCCAUCACCUUCAACUUCUACUAGUGUCAUCAGCAAUAACUCUUCACUAUCAUCAAAUUCAACAUAGUUUGCUUCCCUUCUCAUACUCGGACACUCAUAUUGGAAAUGUCCCAGCUUGUGACACCUGAAGCAUUCAAUAGUAGUCUUUUCGUAACCUGGCCUGGUUCUUCCUCUCCCUCUUGAGUUGUUACUGCCUCCUCUUGGAUAGUUGUUCCUUCCUCUACCACGUCCAAAGUAAGAGUCAUGCUCUACCUUUAGAGCCUGCUCUUCACUUUUCUUAUGGCACACCUUAUGCUCGUGUACCAGUAACAAGCUUUGUAGCUCAUCAACCGUAAGUUGGUUGAUGUCCUUAGAUACUUCAAUCGAACACACAACAAAGUUGAAAUUCUCUGUUAAUGAUCGAAGUAUCUUUUCGACGAUUUUAACAUCUCCCAUAUCUUCUCCACAAUUUCUCAUAUCAUUCUGCAAAUAACCAUUACUCUUCCGAAGUAAUCGUUAUCGAUUCUCCCAUCUUCAUCUCCAAGUUUCGAAAGUCCUUCGAAAACUGCAGUGGGCACGCUUCACUCGGUGCACUUCCUGGUACUUGGUUUCAUUGACUCCCAUAAUUGUUUUGCAGGUCUCCUUCUGUGUGCAAGAUGCGUCUUCAAGAAGGACUUGUCAAUGGCCUUGAACAAAUAGAUUUAUUGCUUUCAGUCUUUGAGUUCUGCUUCAUCCACUUCCUUUUUCGGGCUGCCGUCACCACUUCAUUUUUGUCAGGUGCUUGGCAACCAUCUUGAAUUACACACCAGUAUUCUUUUGAACGCAUCAAGUUCUCCAUGACCAAACUCCAAUGAUCAUAAUCCCCAUCAAAUUUGGGAACACAUGGGGUAGUGAAAUUUCCUGAUCCAGCUGCCAUUUCUCUCACUAAUGUUUUCACUCUCAGUGUUUAAUCACUCAAUCAGGCCCCCUUGCGAGAGCUCUAUACCAAAUGUUAAAACAGAAACACUAAGGUAUACUUCUGUAAAAUCACACUACUUUAUUUAAUACUUAAACAUGGUUUAAAUAGCCUACAAAAUGAAAACUGAAAUAGCAAAAAUAACUGCAGAAAAAUAGGAACAGAACGUAGAGAGAAAAGACUGAAACAAACUCCUACUAACCCACUAAAAUAGAACGUGCUCAGCACCUCCUAAAAGCCCUAAGUUAAUUUAAAUCACUAACAGAAAUCCUAAAUUGUAGCUAGUACACUAACACAUCAGAUCCAACAAGAAUAUUCUAUUUUUAUUGAAUUUUUAAAAUAAAAUAAAAAUGUUUAAUUAAAAUAUCACUUAUAUAUACAUAUAAAUUAUAAGUUGUAACCAAAGAAUAUUCAAGUUUGAACGGUUCAACAGUAGAACCAACCUAAAUGUAAGAGAUUUUGACUAAAGAAUUAACAGAUGCUAUGUUGAUGGAACCUAAACCCUAACCCCUAUUAUAUAUAUAUAUAUGGAUUUCAUUCUUGUCAUGAAAUAGCAUUUGCAAACAAGAGAAUUCUCUUUGUCCAUUCUGAUUAUAGCUUCCAUUAUGGGUGCAGAAAUUUUCGGAAGAAACAUAUUUGGUCGUGUGGAACCUGACCCGGACGAUGACAGCAUCCUUGAAAGAGAUUACAAGAUUAAAGUGGCAGCUUAUGAAUUACUCUGAUGUCUGAUCAUGACUGAGAUUGUAAUGUUACUUUUAUCAUUAAAUUACACUUUGUUAUGAAUUCCAAAUGUCUUGAUGAAAUAAACUAGUAGUUUUUACAUCUCACAGAAAAGAAAUUGUAUCAUGUUUAUGAUGAGCUUUUCUGUGUAGGCCAGUUGAUACUCAUGCUAUCAUUUACUGUUUUUUAGGAUGGAGUUUUCGUUUGCAGAAUGCUUUUGAAAAUGUAGUCAAUGAAACCUUUAGCAAGAUGUAAGAAACAACCCAAUCAUACUGUAUCUAUACACCAUAGACCGCAUCAUGUUAAAUUUGAGACUAACUUUCUUUUAUUUGUAAGGGAAAGAAUAAAUUAGUCCAAAUAAAUUUCCCUUACAAUUAAUAAAAAGUAAGUAUUGUUUAUAUUUUUAAACAUUAACACGAUAAAAAACGGAUAGUCAUGCACAUCUGCAUACCGAUUUUUAAAUAUAGUCUUUCUCUUUUUUGCCGAUCUACACACUGUAUUGUCUUUGUCUCUUAAGACAUCCCUACAAAAUCGGGUUUUUUAAGAUGAGUGAUUUUGCUCAAUAUAAACUCUUUUAGGCUCUUUUAGGCUUUAUCUUUAAUCAACGUGGAACUUUGUUUUCUUCAAUACAGCCCUAAGUGCGUGAACAUAAAUGGUAGGUGUCAUGAAAUAUCCUUAAGUGGAUUUGGUUUUUUUAAUACACCUCAUUACGCCAAUCAAUACUAUUGGUCUUUGUCGCGUACAUUAAUGAUGGGUGGUCAGAUUAUUGGCGCACAUAUAAACGAAGAGAUAUCUUGAUUGUUAGAUAUGAGAUAAUUUAAAAUUAAAUAGAGCAUGACAAUCCUUGUGUUGGGCCUAGUGGUGGAGGUUUGCGUUAAGAGUGUGUUAAGAGUGUGAUUCUCUCAAAGUCUUAAAUUGGUUUGGAUGUCUUAGUAAACCUGUUAGACAAAAUAAUUAUUGGAUCUCGGACUCUGAAACCAACGAUCAUAUCUGUGUUCAUUUUUGCCUUUAUUUAAUUCCUACUACAAAAUUAAACUUGCAUAGGUUAGUCUCCGUAAUGACAAUCUUAUUCUUGUCAAAUAUGGUGGUAACAUCACUUUCUUACCGAGUAUGAUUGAUUUUUUAAUUAACAAGAAAAUCACAAAGUAAAAGAAAAUUGUGAUAUAAACACUGAAUUCUUAAUUCAAUUACAUAUUAUAGAAUAAUAUUUACAAUUGAAUCUCAAUCACACCACUUUCUCCUUUUGAUUAGAAUUAUCCGGGAUUAUGGAAGAAGUGAUGACUAGUAUCCCCAUAUCUUUAUUCUCUCAUGAAGAUCUACAAUAUACUAUGUUCUCUCUUUGUAGUUUGCCCAUAUCUUUGACGGAAAAUGUGUUGGAAGGCUUGUUGACGCAUUCAUUAACUUAGCAUUACAGUUUCUUGUAAAAAAAAUGUAUCAUCUACAUACACAAGUAUGUAUAAUAUUGUGUUGGACCUAGUGGUGGAGGUUUGAAUCCUUUCAAAAUCUUGAAUUCUGCUGGAUACAAUCAAUCUUUAUGUUGGAUCAGUCUAUAUAGAGAUUUGCUCUCUGCCUUUAAACGGCAUCCCUCUAAUGAAUAAAUAUCUAAGAUUUAAAAAUAGAAAACAUGACAUAAUAACACAAUAUCAAUAGUUUUAUUGAUUUUGUGUUCUAUAACAACUUAAUAAUUAACAUCAACAAGCUAAAUGCUGAAAAUAAAAGUGAAUAUUACUUUCUAUGUAUUACAACGUGAUUAGUUCUCAAGUAUAUAUUAAAUGUUGUAGCACAGAUUUAAUGAACUAAACAUAUAUAUUUUCUUAGUUCAAAUGAAAUAUAUUUUCUUAAAAUAAAUGUACAAGAAUAUAAGAAAUCAUCACAAUAUAAAAGAGAAACGAAGAUUAAUUUUGUCUAUAUGAUCUUAAAUUAUUGUAGUGGUAUGCCCUUAAUCAAAGAUUCCAUUAAUGAAUAAAUUAUAGCAAGUGAAAAUGAAAAAAAGACUGAUGGGGUGAGAGAGGCUCGAACUCUCGACCUCAGGAUAACUCUUAGCUAUGAGACCUACGCGCUAGCCAACUGCGCCACCACCCCAAUGAUGUUGGAAAAUUAACUAUACUUUAUAUACUUGGAUAAACAUUCCGAUCAUUAUAAGGAAAAUAAUAUUUAUAUUUGAAAUCAAGUCUAAUGAAAAUAGAAAAGUAACUAAUUUUUCAUAAGAAAAGUUAAUCGACGAUACGAUUCCAUCAAAAGUUCAAGAAUUUCUUCUUUCCCUUACGAUUUAUAAAAAGUAUUGUUUAUAUUCUUAAACAUUAACGCGAUAAAAAAAAGAUAGGAGUGCAUGCACAUCUUCUUUCCUACUUGUAAAUAUAGUCUCUCUCUUUUUUGCCAAUCUACAUAAUACAUGGUCUUUGUCCCUUACGCACCCCUACAAAAUCGAUUUUUUAAGAUGAGUGGUUUCACUCAAUAUAAACUCUUUUAGGUUUUAUCUUUAACCAACGUGGAACUUGAUUUUUUCCAAUACAUCCCCUCGUACCCAUCUUUUUUGAGCUUGGUGCAUGAACAUAAAUGAUAGGUGUCAUGAAAUAUCCUUACGUGGAUUUGGUUUUUUUAAUACAUCCUAUUAUCCCUAGCACUAUUGGUUUUUGUCACAUAUAUUAAUGAUGGGUGGCCAGAUUAUUGGCGCACAUAUAAACGGAGAGAUAUCUUGAUUGUUGGAUACGAGAUAAUUUAAAAUUAAAUAGAGCAUGACAAUUCUUGUGUUGGUCCUAGUGGUGGAGGUUUGGAUGUUGAGAGUGUGCUUAUCUAAAAGUCUUAAAUUUGAAUCCUGCUAGGUGUAAUCAAUCAUUGUGUUAGGCCAGUCUAUACGGAGCUUUGCUCUAGAUUUAAACGCGGCCCCGCUAGUGGACGGAUAUCAAGAUUUAAAAACACACGAUGAGCUUCAAUUUUAGACUUUGUUUUGAGAGUAAGGACGUAGCCUAGGGUAACAUAGAGUCCCACAGACACGAAGGUUGUGAUAGUUGGGUUUGGAUCCAAAGAGAUGUUCAUAAGGACAUUUAUUAUUACAUUGAGGAGUGUGCAUGUGAUUUAUGAGAUACACUUCCAUUUGAAAAGUAUAACACCCAAAUUUUUGUGGAACAAAAGAGUGAGAAAAGAGAGUAAGAGCAGUCUCUACAAUAUAGUGAUGCAUGAGUUUUGCAAUGCCAAUAUGUUCAGGUGUAUAAGGUCGUUAAAAAAAUAGGAAACUCCAUGAUAAUUAAGUUAAUAUUUUAGUUUGAAAUAUUUAGUGCCCCCAUCAGUAUAUAUGGACUUGACUUUGCGGGUGAAAAAGUUUUCAAUUUUAAAGAGAUAUUGAUGAAAUAUGAUAGCUACAUAUGUUUUACUUUUUAAUGGAUAAAUCCAUGUGUAGCGUGUGAGAUGAUCCACAAAUAUAAAAUAAUAUUUGUAACCAUUUAUGGACAAUAUAGGAGAUGGUCCCCAAACAUUAAAAAAAAAUAAGAGGAGAAUUAUUGAAUAGAGAAUAAAGAAAAAGGAAUUUUGUGACUUUUAUUAAUAGAGUAGAGAUUACAAUGGGGAUUUUUAUUAAAAUUCCUAGAUAGACCACAAGAACAUAACAUUUGUGUAAGAGUUUUUGGAGAUAUGUGUUCAAAUACUGCAUGUCAAAGAUCAAAGUUGGAUGUGGUUGUAGAUAGUGUCGUGGAAGAAGAAGGAGUUUGGCUAUAGGUACAAAGAUUACCAUUACUUGGAUUGUGCAUCAAAACCACCCUCGUAACUUGAUCCUUCACACAGAAAAAAGAGGAAUGAAAUUCAACAUAAGCAUUUUUAGACUUACAAAUUUUAGAAACAGUGAUAAGAUUAUGUUUUGCAUUUGGAACACAAAUAAUAUAUUUUAGAUGAAAAAUUGUAUUUGGUGUUGGGAGGGUGGUUAAUCCAAUAGGAAAUAUUUUUAAACUUGUACCAUCAUACUCAUAGUGGAUAUGCAUAUUGUUGAGAUUAUUUGCAACAUAGUGAUUGGCCCCACUAUCAACGACCCGAUUAGAGUUGGUGGAGUUUCUAGAAGCAUAAUGAGCCAUUGGUGGGUUAUUUGGUUUGGGAAUCUGUGGAAAGUAGCGAUAAGUAUGUCCAAUUGUUGAGAAAAAUUAGAAACGUGGAUAGGGAUUAUUGCUACAAUAAUUGAAGCAUUUAGAUUUUCCUCGACCAAUAUAUGACUCAUGUGAAUUAGAGGGUGAAUAGCCACGACCAAAUGAUUGUGUAGGUAAGAGACCAACAUGUUUGAAAUUUUUGUGGGCUAUGUUUGCAGUUGAAACGUGAAUUUCAACUUGGGAUUCCCGACGAAUAUAUUCAUCAUGAGCAAGCAAGUGGCUAUGAAGUUAUUCAAAGUGAAGGGUUUUUCAUGAGUACGAAUGAAUGCAGCAACAUCACGAUAUUAAGACCCAAAGACAUUGAGAACAUAGAGGGUGAGAUCAUCAUCUUAAAUUUUUCUAUUAAUGACAUUUAGUUCAUCGACGAGGAAUUUGAAAAAAAAUAGAUAGUUAGUGAUGGAUUUUUUGCCUUUGGUACAAUGCUAAAUUUGAUUUUUGAUGGACAUGACAUGAGAUCGAGAGGUGCUUGCAUGUUGGAAUUCAAUGAAAACCCAUAACGUUCUAGCAGUGUCAUAGGAGGCAAAGGAUAUACUAUCAGAUUUUGUCAUGAAGGAGAGAAGAAAAUUGAUGAUGAAUUAGUCAAUCAUGAACCAAUUUAUAUAUUCAAGAUUUGGGUUUGAGACACCAAUAGUAAUAAUGAUGGGAGUUUGAGAGGGUGUAGUUCCAUAUAUAUGGCUAAUAACUUGGAUGUCGGAGAAAAAAAUGGUAGCUUGACAUUUCCAAACACGAUAACAGGCUCAAAAGAGCUUAAGAGUGAUAGAAGCAUGACUAACAAGAGUUGUUUUUUAUGGGUUUGUGGUGGAUACCAAGGUAAAGGAAUUUGGGAUUGAUAAAUGCUAUUAGGCUAAAGCUAAUACUGAUACCAUGAAAAAAUAAAUAUAUUGAAUGCUUGAUUUAUUUGAUAUCCUUAAGAAAUAUGGUUGAGUCUAACUCAAUCCUACAAAAAUGACUUGUAGGGUGAGGAUUUCCCCCAUUUAUAAGCACAUGUUCAUAUCAUAUAUUAUCUGAUGUGAGACUCUUAACACACCCUCUCACACCCCAAAUGUAUGUAUGCCAUGAAGAAAUACUAAUGGAUAAAUGUAUGAAGUAAUGGAUGUCACUAAUGUCUUGAAACUAAAACCCUAAAUGGACUUAAUUUAGAAGGCAUGUAAUUAUGGAUCAUAUAAUGGGAUGCAAAAGAACAAAUGAGACCAGUCAUAUUUAGAUAUUGGAUGCAUGAUAUGACUAUGCUAGUGAUCAGAUGAAAAGUCAAGUUGUUGACUUUUCUUUGUUAUUGACUUAUGCAAGCUAAUGGAACCUUAUGACUAAUGGUCAUAAGAAAAUGAUGCAAAUGAGACACACAUGAGUAAUAUGAAAAUGAAUCAACACAAGUGAAAAUAUUUGGAGGGGGAAAUUUUAUGGUAUGUCAUUAUAUUGGUAAGUCAUCAGCUUAUUCAUGUUCUUCUUCUAAAUGGCUUAUGAACCCUAUUCUCUAUUUGAGCCAAUAGUGUUUCGACUUUGUCACCUAGUUUUCUUGGGAUUAUGGUCCUAAGUUGCGCUUGGAAUUGUUGAAGAUAUUAAAUAUAAUCCAAGUUAACACUUUAUUUCCUUGGUAUUAGGUGUAUAUAAAUAGACACUUUGUAAUUCAGAAUUAUCAGUCAAUUCAAUAAUAUAAUCUUUAUUUCCUUAUUCCCUCUUUCUCUCCUCACUAAAAGUGCCUCGAGCACUAACAAAUUGGUACCUAGAGCCCUGGUUAGAUUCUUGGUCGUGUUUUCAAGAAUCACACGUCCGAGAUUGUGUUUCAGAGAUCGUGGAUUGUCGUUGAUCAACCGCUACAAAGAUGAAUGGUAACGGAAAUUUACCAAACUCCCUUCCAACUCUUGACGACAAGAAUUUGCUUCGAUAGAGGAAACAAAUGCAAUCUCUAUUUGGCUUUCAUGAAACCUUAGAAGUGGUUACUAAUGUUGUUCAUAAAGUUAGUGAAGAUGAAACUGACGCACAGAGAACUACUCACAAGGAUGCCAAGAAGAAGGACUGCAUGGCGACGUUUUACAUCCAAUCGGCGGUUGAUGCAGAUAAUUUUGACAAAAUCGAUCAUGUUGAAUCGGCGAAUGAGACAUGAGAUAUUAUUGUCAAGUACUAUGAAGGAGGCGAUAAAGUCAAGGUUGUCAAGUUGCAAACUUUGCGACGACAAUAUGAAUUAUUUUCGAUGGGAGAAGACGAAAAGAUUGCAGACUAUGUGUCGAAGGUGCAGAAACUCGUCCAUCUCAUGAAGGGUUGCGGCAUAACUGUUAGGGACCAAUUAGUACUACUUUUCAUAUAAUUUUAUUGGUCCCUUUUACCAUUUUCUGAUUGAAUUACACACUUUUAUCCUCACAAUUUUGUAUAAAUGCAAUUAAGUUUAAGUGAUUAUGUUUUAAGUAGAUAUUUCACAUACUACUUUUCAUAUAAUUUUAUUGGUCCCUUUUACCAUUUUCUGAUUGAAUUACACACUUUUAUCCUCACAAUUUUGUAUAAAUGCAAUUAAGUUUAAGUGAUUAUGUUUUAAGUAGAUAUUUCACAUAUUUGUUAGUUUUGUAGAGUUUUUGGACAAGAGAGCAUUGGAGUGCAUAAGCAUAAUUUGGAUGAAGUUUCAAUGGCAAUUUGGAAGCAUAAUUUGGAAGAAUAACACUUUGGAGAAUUGUUGAAUGAAGCUUGCAAGGCAAGGAAGCUGAAAUUGCUUCAGUUCGCGCCGCGACCAGGGAUGGCGCCGCGAACCUUGCUAAACCAGCAAGCAUUUUUUUGGGGCCAAGUGUUCUGUUUUCAACCCAACUUUAGUGUGACAAUGUAUCAAUUUUAGAGUGCUUUUCAGUUUUAGAUGAAAAUGAACAUUUUAGGAAAGGUUGAACUCUUUAAGAAAACAGAAUGGAAAAAAUAGAAAGAUACACACAUUGUAGAAGAAAAACAGAGUUUAGUUUGCUAUUGCAUUUUGCUGUCCAAAAUGAUGAUGAGGAGCUAAACCCCAUUUUGUCAAGAUUGGAGGUAGUAGCUAUUCCUAUUUGCUUAUGUAUUCCAUUUGACUCUUGUAUAUGACAAAAGGUUAUUGAUGUAUUAAGUGAUAUUUUUGCCCUAUUUUAAAUAUUUACUUUGAGUAGUUGUUGAGAAAGAUUAUUCAAGUCUUGACUUAAAAUAUACUUUCAAGUAGUGAAUGAGUUGUAGAAAUAGAUUUAUACACUACUCUUCUUUUUGUAUCAAACAUUAAAGAUUGUUAUAUUGAUAGUUAGGUAGAGAAAUCAUUUAACCAUUAAUAUAGUGAUUAUCACAAUAUCAUUUAGAGAUAAAUGAUAUUGAGAGGAUACUUGAAUAUCAUCAAUAAUUUUAAAUCUAUAUAGUUGUCAUAAGGAAACAUAAGAAAUUUGAAUAGUGAACUUCAAUCUUGCCAAACCUUUUACAUUUGAUUAAAACUAUUUUAUUGUUUUAGUGACAUUUUACUCAAAAGAUAACUUUUCAAACAAAACAACUUGGUUACAUUUUAAACUUAUAACAAUUUAGAUUAUAGAACGGCGGUAAUAACAACCAAUCUCUGUGGAUACGAUAUUAAAAUAUUUGCCGAAAAUAUACUUUUCAACAAAUUGGCGCUGUUGCCGAGGAGUUCUUGAAUUAAAUACCAAUGAUGCUAUUCUUGCUCAAAACAAGCUACCUUCUCAACAAGUGGAGUUGCUCACUCAACAAAUGUCAAAACUCCCACAACAAAUGAAGGACAUACAGGGAUCUCAAUCUAGACAUCAAGUAGCAUGCUGCGAACUAUGUCAAGGAGAUCAUCCAACCGGUUAUUGUCCUUCAUUGGAAGAAGUGAGUUAUGUGAAUAACCAAAACCAAGGUUAUCAAAGACAACCCCCACCCCACAAUAACUCAUAUCCAAGGAACAAUCAAGGUUAUCAACCAUCAAGGUUCAACGACCAAAAUUUUCAGCAACAAAGUCCUUAUCAACACCCAAAUUCUCAAGGACAACAAUCGCAAGGAGGAAAUUCAAAGCUAGAAGACACUCUCCAACAAUUCAUGCAAGCCUCCAUGGCAAACCAAAAGAGUAAUGAGGCAGCUAUUAAAAAUUUGGAGAAUCAAGUAGGCCAACUUGCGAAGCAAUUGUCGGAAUAACACGUAAGUUCUUCAUUCUCCGCUAACACUUAAACCAAUCCAAAGGAGCAUUGUAAAGUAAUUGUUACGAGAAGCGGUAAAGAGUUGACAAGUGGAAAAAGUGAGGAGAUUAUAGUAGAGAAUGAUAUGGAUGUUGUACAUGAAAAUGAGGAUGUGGACUGUGAAAAGGAGAAAGUGGCCGAAACUGUUCAGUUCGCGCCGCGAAAAGAGCAGAAACAGCAAGAGUCAGCAGAGCAGCAGGGUGAAGUGGAAAUGAAGAAAGAAGUCGAGCCAAGAAAGAAGAAGAAAGGAGACAAAGGCGUGAGUGCCAUUCCAGCUUAACAUCUACCUUAUCCGCACGCACCAUCAAAGAAGGAUAAUGCUAGACACUAUGCACGGUUUAUGGACAUAUUCAAACAACUUCAAAUAAAUAUUUCAUUUGUCGGCGCAUUAGAGCAAAUGCCACGGUAUGCAAAGUUCAUGAAGGAUAUUCUCACAAAGAAAAGGAGAUAUGUGGAAGACAAGACAAUCUUGCUGGAUGCACGUUGUAGCGCCAUAAUCCAAAAAACUCUCCCAAGAAAGGAAUCUGAUCCGGGCCGAGUUGUUUUACCGAUAACCAUUGGAGGCACUUACAUUGGUAAUGGUUUGAUCGACUUGGGAUCUAGCAUCAAUUUAAUCCCCUUAUCCAUUGUGAAAAGAUUGGGGAAUGUUGAGAUUAAAUCUACAAGGAUGACUUUACAACUAGCCGAUAAGUCUACCACUUCACCAUAUGGGGUUGCUCAAGAUAUGCUAGUGAAGGUGGACAAAUUCUUGUUUCCAGUAGAUUUUUUGAUAGUGGACAUGGAUGAGGAUCGUGAUGUUCCUCUAAUUCUUGGAAGAUCAUUCAUGAAAACAGCCCGAAUGAUGAUUGACAUUGAUGAUGGACUCAUGAAAGUAAGAGUGCAAGAUGAAGAGGUGACUUUCAAUCUUUUUGAAGCCAUGAAGCAUCCUAAUGACAAGCAUGAUUCUUUCCGAAUCGAUGCCACCGAGGAGGAAAUAGUGGAAGUUGCAAACCAAGUUCAUGUUUCUAAUCCGUUAGAAAGAUCUCUUAUUGGAGCUUACAAUGUUUUGACCGAAAAUGAAGAAAAAGAGAUUGAAGCAAUUUUGCAUGAAUUGGAGUCGUGUGGAGAGAUUGCUUAUCAUGAAGAGACAAAUGAAGACCUGGAUGUGAAGAAGAAAGUGGAAGAGCCAAAACUAGAGUUGAAAAUGCUACCUUCACACUUGAAGUAUGUGUUCCUAGGUGAUGAUUGUACUAAACCGGUGAUCAUUAGCAAUACCUUGUCCACAAAAGAGGAGCAUAAAUUGAUACAAGUGCUAAAAAAGAAUGAAGGUGCAAUAGGGUGGGUAUUAUCUGUAACACCCCGAUAAUAAUAAAAUAAUUAUUUAAAGUGAGUUAAUAAUAUAUUUAUUAAUUUAAUUAAAUAAUUGGAAAUUUUAUUAUUAUUAUUAUUGGAUUAUUAUUAUUAUUGGAAAAUAUAUAAGUUGGAAUAAGGAAAAAGGGUUUCAGUAUUGGUAAAGAGUUUUCACGUGAAACAGAGAAGCGGCUGAAAGGUGAAAGGUGGAGAAAAGGCAAAGAGGAAGAGCUAGAGAGCAAAGGUUGAAGAACGGAAAAGCUCGAAGCUUAGAGAUUGCCGGAUUAUCUCAGGUAAGGCGGGUUUAUCGUCGUUUAAUGGGUAUUAUAGAUUAACAUGUCAUGGGUAGUGAUAAACCGUUGAAGUGACCCUAAUUGGGAUGUUGAAUGCUGAAAUAUUGUGAUGAAUAAGUUGUAUUAAAGCUGUAAUUGAGUCCGUAAUUGUGUGAGUCGUGUUCCCCCGAACGUGUAGCUUUUUACGGAAAUUGAAUCGGAGGUCCGGAAGUCCUCCAACGGCGGAAAAUGCGGAGAACUCUGCAUUCUGCCUUGUGUUAGCGCAGGAACUGCUGUUUUGCCUGCGUUAACCGGUUAACCCAGGGCGUUAACCGGUUAACACUGUUAUAUUUUGUGGAAAUGUGCUGUUUUGCCUGCGUUAACCGGUUAACCCAGGGCGUUAACCGGUUAACACUGUUGCGUUUUGCCAGAAAGUGUGUUUUGUCCUGCGUUAACCGGUUAACCCAGGGCGUUAACCGGUUAACACUGUUGGAAAUUAGAAAAAUUGAUAUUUUUAAUGUUGUGAACCUAAUUGGUGAUUGGCCUAUUAUAGUUAAUUGUGAUGAGUAAUUUUGUUGGAUUUAUGUUAUGAAGUGUUGAUACAAGUAUGUUGCUGAGUUGUUCCGUGUACGGAAAGUUGUUGAAAAUACUGAGUUGUAGGCUUGGUGAGCCAAAGUUGAUUAUAAGUUGAUGUUGUUGAAAACAUUGUUGUAUUGCUAUUAUUAUUAUGUUGUCGACAGUUUAAAGUCGUGUAUGCCAUGUACAUUCAUAUGCAUUAAGUCGGAGCUUUGCUCACACCACGUUGGCCUGGAUUGGCAAAUUUUAAGUUGAAAGUUGAAGGCUUAUGCCUUGAUGCCCACUAAAAUGGCAAUGAUUUUAAGUUGGGAGUUUUACUCCGAAUGGUACCACAUGCAUGACGAGUCGAGUCUCAUUUGAGUUGCAUUUUAUGUUGUUAUUGAGUUGCAUUUUACGUUGUUAUUGAGUAUGAUAUUUGAGUUGAUGUGCCGUUACUGAAUGCAGGAUAUGAUUAGGGUGAUUAACGUGUAAAUUUACUUAGCAUUACAUGAUGAUUUAUAAUGCUUAUUAUAUCGAUUGAGGAACUCACCCUUACAACUAUUUUUCAGGUAACGAGCAGUGAGUGAGUAGAAGCUAGUGCCUGGAGUCUAGUGUAGUCUACGUAGUGGGUCGUGCUCUGAUAGAUGUAACAUCGGGACGGGAUGUUUUAAUUGUUUAUUGUUGAUUGUUGAACCUUUUUACCUGUAAAACGUUAUAUGUUUUGAAUGGUUGGUUGAUUCUAUCCGCUGCGAAUUUUGCAAAAAUGUUGUUUUGAUUAAAUAAAGAGCAUGACAGUUAUUAUGGUGUGAAAUGUUGUGUGACACCCUUGGUGCAUGAUUACUCUGAUAUAUAUAUAUAUAUAUAUAUUUGUUGUUGUUAUUAAAUAUUUGGGGUAUUUUAGAAGGGUGUUACAUUAUCCGACUUGAAGGGUAUUAGUCCGGCCUAUUGUAUGCAUAAGAUCAUGAUGGAAGAAAAUUUCAAACCCGUUGCACAACCUCAAAGGCGCUUAAAUCCAUCAAUGAAAGAAGUGGUUAGGAAAGAAGUUGUCAAACUCUUGGAAGUCAGAAUGAUUUAUCCUAUCUCCGAUAGUGAAUGGGUGAGUCCGGUGCAAGUAGUUCCAAAAAAAGAUGGUAUGACGGUUAUCAAAAAUGAUAAAAAUGAGUUGAUUCCAACUAGAACAGUAACCGGGUGGAGGAUGUGUAUUGACUAUAGGAGGCUAAAUCAAGCUACAAGGAAAGAUCAUUUCCCGCUACCUUUCAUGGACCAAAUGUUGGAAAGGUUGGGCGCCAAAAAUUUCUAUUGUUUCUUGGAUGGUUAUUCGGGUUACAACCAAAUUUUGGUCAAUCCGGCGGAUCAUGAGAAGACGGUUUUUACAUGUCCUUUCGGCAUUUUUGCUUACCUAAGAAUGCCUUUUGGAUUAUGUAAUGCACCGACAACCUUUCAACGGUGUAUGCAAGCAAUAUUCUCGGAUUUGAUCGAAGAAUGCAUUGAAGUGUUUAUGGAUGACUUCUCCGUUUAUGGAUCGUCCUUUGAUUUUUGCUUGAAAAAUCUUGAUGUGGUUUUGGAAAGAUGCGUGGAAACAAACUUAGUGCUAAAUUGGGAGAAAUGCAACUUUAUGGUCACCGAAGGUGUUGUUCUUGGUCACAAAAUCUCUUCCGAAGGGCUAGAAGUUGAUAGAGCAAAGGUGGAAGUCAUUGAAAAAUUACCACCUCCAACAAACAUCAAAGGAAUAAGGAGCUUUCUUGGACAUGCCGGAUUUUAUCGGAGAUUCAUCAAGGAUUUCUCAAAGAUAGCAAAGCCCUUGAGUAAUUUGCUCAACAAAGGUACGCAAUUUCUUUUCGAUGAGUCGUGUCUAAAAGCAUUCCUUGAGUUGAAAGAAAAGUUAGUCACCGCACCCAUAAUCGUUGCACCAAAUUGGACACUUGAUUUUGAACUUAUGUGUGAUGCAAGCGAUUAUGCGGUUGGUGAGGUUUUGGGUCAAAGAAGAAAUAAAAAAUUUCAUGUCAUCCACUAUGCUAGUAAAGCUUUAAAUGAGGCGCAAGUCAAUUAUGCGACAACCGAAAAGGAGUUACUAGCUAUAGUGUAUGCAUUGGAAAAAGUUUAGAGCUUAUUUGAUCGGGUCCAAAGUUGUAGUUUACACCGACCAUUCGGCAAUCAAGUAUUUGCUAACCAAGCCGGAUUCCAAACAAAGAUUAAUUCGUUGGAUUUUGUUAUUACAAGAAUUUGAUUUGGAAAUCCGGGAUAAAAAAGGUUCCGAAAACUUGGUAGCGGAUCAUUUGUCCCGUUUGUUUAAUGUGGAAAUUACAAACAAGGAAGAAGAAGUAAGAGAAGAAUUUAUGGACGAAAAGCUUUAUGCGAUUCAAGUGAGGCCUUGGUUUGCCGAUUUUGCUAAUUAUAAGGCAACCGGUUUGACACCGGAAGACCUCACUAGUAAUCAAAGAAAGAAAUUCUUAGCGGAUGCAAAGUACUAUGUGUGGGAUGAUCCGUAUUUGUUUAAAGUGGGUGUGAACAGUAUUUUAAGAAGGUGUGUGACACUUGAGGAGUCAAAAGACAUCCUUUGGCAUUGUCAUAACUCUCCGUAUGGAGGUCACUAUAGCGAUUUGAGAACAGCCACUAAAGUGCUCCAAGCGGGCUUUUAUUGGCCGUCUUUGUUUAAAGAUGCACAUGAACACGCGAAGAGUUGUGACACAUGUCAACGAAGUGGAGGAAUAGGAAAACGGAAUGAAAUGCCUCUAACCAACAUGUUAGAAGUAGAAGUUUUUGAUUGUUGGGGUAUUUAUUCCGUUGGCCCAUUCCCCUCUUCCUUCUCAAAUGAGUAUAUCCUUGUGGCCGUUGACUAUGUUUCGAAGUGGGUGGAAGCAAUUGCUUCACCUAAGGCCGACGCCAAAACGGUGAUAAAUUUUUUAAAGAAAAACAUAUUCUCACAUUUUGGUGUGCCUCGGAUGUUGAUAAGCGAUGGAGGAUCACACUUUUGCAAUACACCUUUUGAAAUUUUUUUACAACAUUAUGGUGUAAAGCAUAAGGUGACUACUCCCUACCAUCCACAAGCGAAUGGUCAGACGGAAGUUUCUAACCGAGAAGUGAAGAGGAUCCUUGAAAAAACAGUCUCGAGUUCAAGAAAAUGACUACUCCCUACCAUCCACAAGCGAAUGGUCAGACGGAAGUUUCUAACCGAGAAGUGAAGAGGAUCCUUGAAAAAACAGUCUCGAGUUCAAGAAAAGAUUGGUCAUUAAAAUUAGAUGAAGCUUUAUGGGCGUAUCGUACCGCCUACAAAGCUCCUAUUGGACUAACUCAAUUUCAGAUGGUGUAUGGGAAGACUUGUCAUCUCCCGGUGGAAAUGGAGCAUAGAGAACUAUGGGCUCUCAAAUUCUUGAAUUUUGACUCCACUUUAGCUGGAGAGAAAAGAAGGGGACAGCUCCAUGAAUUGGAGGAAUCACGGAACAGUGCUUACCAUUCAAAUAAAUUGUACAAGGAGAAAGUGAAAGCGUACCAUGAUGGAAAGGUCUGUCACAAAGAGUUCAAAGUUGGACAAAUGGUACUUCUUUUCAAUUCAAGAUUGAAGUUAUUUCCCGGUAAGCUAAAGUCCAAGUGGUCGGGACCAUUUGUUGUAAAGGAGGUGCGAAACUAUGGGGCCAUCGUGGUUGAGGAUCCAAAGUCACAGGAGAGCUGGACUGUAAAUGGACAAAAACUAAAAGUCUACCAUAGUGUCAAAGUGAAUCGAGAUGUCUGUGUCAUUUCCCUAGCCAGACCAUGAAGAUCAUUGAACCGUCGAGCUCAAAACGACGUUAAACAAAGCGCUUGUUGUGAGGCAACCCAACGUUGUAAGUUUGCAUUUCAAGUUUUGUCAAUUCAGUUGUUAAUGUAUUCUGUUUUGUUUCUUUUUAUUUGAAAAUUGAGUUCUGUCUACUGCCAACAAUUUUUAAAAUUUCCUUCAGUUCGCCCCGCGAACAGCCUUCGCCUCACGAACUGAAUGGAAAAGUUCAGGUUGGCGCCGCGAACAAAGUUCGCCCAGCGAACUAAGCGUGGCAAAACCUUUUAAGUUCUGUUUUGGUGUUAUUUCUAUUUCAUUUCCAAAUUCACAAUUUCACAAUUCUCUUCAUCACUUUCACUACCCCACUUCCAAAUUCACAAUUAAUCCUCUCCACUUCAAAAAUCCCAAACUUUUUAACAAGAAUCAAGUCAAUCCUCAACAAAGGUAUGUGUAAUCUCUUCCCUUUCCUCUUUGUUCCUCAUUUAGAUGAAAUAGGGUUUUGCUAGAAAUUGAUGUAGUUGAUGAAUUUAGCCUUGCAUGUCUAUAGAGGACUCAAAUUAGGAUUGGGUAAGAGAUUAUGGUUAUGAUUGAGAAACGUUUUUGAGCAGAAGGAACCCUAGAGGCUGCUGUUAUUUUCCUGGUUCGCAAGGUUCGCGCCGUGAACUGGGAAAUUUUAGUUUCAUGAUUUUUGAUUUUGAAUGCUAACUUCUCUUAUGGCUUUUGUGCGGUUGUUUCUGAUUUUUGUUGCAGAUGUCAAAACGUACCAAAACCACAAGCUCCGGUCCUUCUCGAUCCGUGCGAUAAUUCACUAGUGAUGAGCACGAGGAGAGAUUCGAAAAAUUGAUCAAACGGACCAUUCAACCGGAAAGAUUCAUCCGCUUAUCACCGGGUGGAACUUAUAGGAAGCUGGUGUCGAAUUUUGAAAGAAGAAAAUGGAACAAGAUUUGUGAACCAGAGCCAGAGAUAAAUUAUGACAUUGUGCGUGAGUUCUACGCCAAUGCUUUUCAGUUGGAGGAGGGAGUGGCAUUUCACUAUCAGACAAGAGUGAGGGGAAAGAUCAUUUCCUUCAGUAGGGACGCGAUCAACGCGUAUUUGAGUAAUCCUCUAAUUUUGGCGGAGAAUGGACGGUGCGAGUACCGUGCCAAAGAAAUGGCCAACGAUUGGGGCCUUCCUACUGUGAUCUCUCAUCUAUGCCUUGAAGGAAGGACUUAUGAUUUGAAUGAUCAGGGAUUCCCGAAGUCGUGGAAGAGGGAGAGUUUGAACUUGGAAGCAAGGGCCUAUUUGGUGCUUCUAUUGAAUAAUAUUCGGCCAAGGAGCCACAGCACCACCAUUCCAUUGGAUGUCGGAUGCCUAUUAUACUACAUCAUGAUUGGUAAAUCAGUAGAUAUGACAUCCAUCAUUGCGGGGGAAAUACGCAAAGUUGCUACUAUUGGAACGAAGUUCGGUGGGAAAGUUGGUGUUCUAACAUAUCCGGGGCUGAUUAUGGGACUUUGCCGAAGGGCAAAUGUUCCCAUUCCGGAUGAGGUACACUUGUCUAUCACCAGUAUUAUUAAUGAUGCUAAUCUUAACAGGUUUUGCCAGAGCCAGAUGGACAGAGCUGAAGGAGCUGGCACUUCUUCCUCUAGACCCCGAGCCCGCAGUACGCCAUCAUUCGAUCAGAUGGCGUUCGCUACCUACUGCUGUGAGAGCUUUGAGGCCUCUAGGAGGUCUCAAUCAUUCAUUUUUGAUGCUAUGCAGCAGCAAUUUCAGAACACCUUCCUUGCGCCCGAAGCCCGCACUUUUCCUUCCUAGGCGGAGUAUGCUACUUAUGCUAAUUGGCCUGAGGGCAAGCCAGCUUUUAUGGGGGGUGCAGGAGGUGGUGCGACCCAUGAUGAUGAGAUGGAGGAUGUCCUUGGAUCCGUUGGUGGUGAUCAUGAUGAGGAAGAUUGAGGAUUUUUUUUAGUAGUAGUAGAUUUUUAUUUUGAGUUUUUAUUAUUAUGGUUUUUGUUUAAUUACUAUUGUACUUUUGGUGGCUCUAGUUUCACCAUAAACUUUUGUUUGUAUUGCAGUGAAUCAUUUGCGGAGAUUAAUGUGGUGUUAUCAUGAAUUGUGGUAUACCCAUUUGUUGUUUAAUUUUUCUUACUUUAAGUUAAGCUUAAAGCAACCAGAAAUGCUUGCAAAGAAGGAAGCGUAUGACACUUCGAUGGUGAUGAUAAGAAUUAGUGUCGGCAUUUCAAGACAACAUUAUCGCUUUCUAGACUUAACAUGAGUAGUUUGAUGGUGUGUUGCAAUUCCAUAUCAUAAAUUCAUUGAGAUACAUGUCUUUUGAAUCAAAAUAGGACUUAACCAAUUGUGAGGUAGCUUUCCAUUGUACACUAAAUGCGGGAAACCGAACAUUAUUCAAUUCAUUCUUAUCAUGCUAAAUCAUGCAUUAAUCUAUUUUUGUGAAAAUUGUGAGAAUGAUAGAGGCAUUGUUGUUAGUGAGAAAACCACUUGGCAAAAAGUUUUGAAUCAACUAACCUUGUGAGGAGUGAUCCUUAGUUAACCCCUUUGAGCUUUUAGGAUUCAUUUGAUUGAUAAGUGUAAAGUCAAUUGAAAAUUUUGUGAAUAAAUGAAUCCUAACUUCUUUCGUUUCAAUUGAACCCUCAAACUGAGUUUUUGCAAAUUUUGUCUUUCGCCUAUGUCUAAGUAGGGAGCAUUAUUGAAUAAAUUUGGUUUUGAAAUCUAAAGUUGGGGAGAGUAAAUUAGAAGAGUUGAUUAGAAACUUGGAAAAGUGAUGUUUAUAAAAGGGUGAAAGUGUGAAAGAAACAAGAAAAAGAAAUCAUGUUUGAAACUAUAGAGCAAAGAAAAAGAAAAGAAAGAAAAAAACAAAGAAAAACUCAUGGGUGUGGAUGUGAAAAAUAGAAAGAAGAAAGAUGAGGAUAAAGAAACGGAAAUGUUGUUAAGUUGAAUGUAUGGGAAUGCUCCCUUAGGAUAGGCAUUUUGUUGAAUGCUCUUAAUCAUAUCCUUUCUUGUAACCCAAGCCACAUUACAACCUUUGAAAGACCUCUUGAUUCUCAUUUUCACAUGAUUAGUAUUUGCUUUGAUGAUCGCAUGAUUCGAGUUGUUGUUGAUUUAAUUGUUUGGAUGAUGAAGUAACCUUCAUGUUUAUUCAUCAUAUUAUGAUGUGUGUGUAAGUUUGAUUCAAUUUUGACAUGUAUUGCUUUGAAUCUUUGUAUGUUAUUUGCACCCAACCAUUGCUCUUAUUCAUGUUUGUCUAGCAUUGAGAUAGGUGGAUUGAGAAAGUGCCACACUUUUGAACCAUUUGAAUGUCCUUGUUAAUCCUUGUUCAAUAAUUGUUUCAUUGCUUUGGUUGUUUUGGUGAAAACUUUUGUUUAGGGACAAACAAAAUGAUAGUUGGGGAGAGUUGUUAGGGACCAAUUAGUAUACUUUUCAUAUAAUUUUAUUGGUCCCUUUUACCAUUUUCUGAUUUGAAUUACAAACUUUAUCCUCACAAUUUUGUAUAAAUGCAAUUAAGUUUAAGUGAUUAUGUUUUAAGUAGAUAUUUCACGUAUUUGUUAGUUUUGUAGAGUUUUUGGACAAGAGAGCAUUGGAGUGCAUAAGCAUAAUUUGGAUGAAGUUUCAAUGGCAAUUUGGAAGCAUAAUUUGGAAGAAUAACACUUGGGAGAAUUCUUGAAUGAAGCUUGCAAGGCAAGGAAGCUGAAAUUGCUUCAGUCCGCGCCGCGACCAGGGAUGGCACCACGAACCUUGCGAAACCAGCAAGCAUUUUUUUGGGCCAAGUGUUCUGUUUUCAACCCAACUUUAGUGUGACAGUUUUGUAUCAAUUUUAGAGUGCUUUUCAGUUUUAGAUGAAAAUGAACAUUUUAGGAAAGGUUGAACUCUUUAAGAAAACAGAAUGGAAAAAAUAGAAAGAUACACUUUGAUUACAUUAUCGCAGGCUAUGUGUCGAAGGUGCAGAAACUCGUCCAUCUCAUGAAGGGUUGUGGCGUAACCCUAACUGAUAGGAUGAUAGUUGGUAAGUUAAUAUGUAUGUUGACCUUUCACUUUGAUUACAUUAUCGUAGCUAUUCAAGAAUCCAAAAAUGUUGAAACCCUAAAACUGGAAGGUUUGGUUGGUUCGUUGGAGGCGCGUGAGAUUAGGAUUGUCGAAUGAAAUGGAGUUCAAGACUCGAUACAAGCACUAUAGGCUUAGUCAUGGAAGAAGAAUCGUGGUUUCAACAAGUUCAAAGGCAAAAUUGACAAGACUCUGGGCAAGAAGUCUUGGUUAAAUACUCACAAGAAUAAGGUCGGUGAUAGAUCUUAUGAAUCCUCGAAAAGAGAAGAAGGAAAUUCUUGUCAGAAAGACAAAGAAGAAAAAGAAAAAAAGGUGUGCAUUGUUAUAACUGUUAAAAGUGAGGUCACUUGGCCAAGCAUUAUUGGUCCAGAAAAGACAAGGGAUCGACAAAAGGCAAGGAAGAAGGAGCGAACCUUGCACGUCAAGAUUCAGAUGAUUCUGAUGAUAUGGUGGUUAUGCCUACAGUUGUAGAUGACCAUGUCGAAUCCAAGAUCUAGUUCCUUGACUCAGACUGCUCGAAUCAUAUGACUGGUCCAAAAGUAUGGUUAGUAGAUUUUGAAGAGUUGAAGAAGAGCAAGGUUAAACUUAUUGAUAAUAGCUCAUUGCACGCCGAAGGUACUGGUAACAUAGUUAUUUAAAGGAGUAAUUGAGCGAAAGCCUUAAUCAAAGAUGUACUUGGUGUCCCUGGAAUGAAGUGCAAUCUUGUAAGUGUUGGGCAACUGGUUGAAAAGGGGUUCUCAGUGGUUAUGAAAGACGGAGCCUUAGAACUUUUCGACAUCUAGAAUAACUUGGUCUUUAAAUCUCCUUGGCCUAAGAAUAUAACAUUUAAGACCAUGAUCAGUUCGAUUGAGGUACAAUGUCUGAAAACAGUUGUCGAUCACAAAAAUAGUUGGUUGUGGCAUCUGAGGUUUAGUCGUCUGAAUUUUAGGCCGCUCAAUCAACUGAUCACUCAAGAUAUGCUAAUUGGUAUACCAAGUCUUGAGAUUCACAACGAACUCUGUGAAGGUUGUCUAGUUGGAAAGAAAUCCAAGAAGUCUUUCGUUUUGACUAUGCCAAUGAGAUCCUCCUGCAUACUCGAAGUUGUACAUCCAGACGUAUGUGGUCCUUUUGAGGAGCAUAUCAUUGGUGGAAACAAGUAUUUUGUUUUGUUUUUCGAUGAGUUUAUUCGAAGUGGAUCUAUGUGAUCAAGAUAAAGGGCGAAGUAUUUGAAAUCUUUAAAAGAUUCAAGAUGCUUGUCAAAAACCAGAGUGAAAAGAAGAUCAAGGUUCUACGAACAAAUGAAGGUGGUGAAUACACAUCCAAGAUAUUUGAAGCAAUCUCUAAAUAACAUGGUGCUAAUAAUAAGGUAACCGCACCUUGUACUCCUCAACAUAACGGAAUAGCAAAAAGAAGAAAUAAGACCAUAUUGGACAUGGCAAGAUGCAUGCUGAAGCAUAAGAAUUUUCCAAAAUAUUUAUGGGGUGAAGUUGUUUCGACUGUUGUUUAUAUUCUGAACAAGUGUCCUACCAAGAAGCUAUAGAACAAGGUUCCUGAAGAAGCGUGGAGUGGCAAACGACCAUCGGUGAUUCAUCUGAAGGUGUUUGGCUUUAUGUGUUACAAGCAUGUCCCUAAUGCAAGAAGAAGGAAGCUUGAUGACAAGAGUGAACCUAUGACUCUGGUAAGAUAUCAUAAGACUAAAGCAUACAGGUUGUUCAGUCCAAUUAAUUAGAAGAUUAUGAUUAGUCAAGAUAUUGAUUGAUGAAAAUUCUUCUUGGGAUUGGAAUUUUAGUAAUGCAAUUGAUAAGCGAUAUAUGAACUAUGAUUUCGAUGAACCAAGUAAUGAUGUCGAAGUCGAAGAUAUUGUUUAUUUUCCAGUUGAAGUCGAAGUUUUUGCUAACAUUCUCGACACAGUCAAAGUCAGAGACGUCAUGGAUAGCACAAGUCAUAGACCUUAAAGAACUAGAGCUCGCCCAACAAGAUUUCAAGACUAUGAAGUGGUUGGUGAUGAUAAAGUCACAACAGAUGGAGAACUAGUUCAUUUUGCUUUACUUACAGGUGUUAAAUCAAUCAACUAUAGUAGGGAUUUAAAUAAUAUGAAGUGGAAGUUUGAUAUAGGCGAAAAUUUACAAGCAAUCGAGAGAGACAACACAUGGGAAUUGGUCGAAUUGCCAGCAUAUAUAAAAUCUAUCAAAGUUGAAGCACAAUGUUGAUGGGUCAAUAGCAAGACAUAAGGAGAGACUGGUAGCUUGAGGAUUUCUUCUACGAGCAGGACUCGACUACUCUGAAGUCUUUGCACAUGUUGCAAUAUUGGAAACUAUUCUACUAGUGGUAGCCUUGGCAUGUGAACAAGGUUGGUCGACAUUUCACUUAGAUAUGAAAUUGGAACUUUUGCAUGGACCUUUAGAUGAAGGGGUGUAUGUCACAUAACCUCCUGGGUUUGUGAUUCAGGAGGAAGCAAGAAAAGUAUACAAGUUGCACAAAGCGCUUUAUAGUCUCAAGCAGGCACCUAGGGCAUGGAACAAGAAGAUUGACUCAUACUUGGUCGAAUUGAGAUUCGUCAUAUAUAAAUGUGAGUAUGGUGUAUAUGUUCAGGUUAUGGAACAAGAUAUAACAAUCAUCUGCUUAUAUGUUGAUGACUUUCUAAUAAUUGAAAAUAUCUUGAAGAACUUGUCAAAGUUCAAAAAGAUGAUGAAGAAGGAAUUUCAAAUGUCGGAUAUGGGAAAGUUGUCAUACUUCCUAGGCAUGGAAUUUCAAAUGUCGAAGCAAGGUAUGAUGCUACAUCAAAGAAAGCAUGUCAAGGAGAUACUCAAGAGAUUCAGGAUGGAUGAUUCGACUCCUGCAUCUUCGUCUAUCGAACUAAAUUUGAAGUUGCAAAAGCAUGGAGAGGAAGACAAAGUCGAUGCAACUUUGUUCAAACAAAUUUCGGAUCUCUGAGAUAUGUGUGCAACAGUCGAUCUGAUAUAUGUUUUUCAGUCGGAUUAGUGAGAAGAUAUAUGAGUGAACCAAGGGUGUCACGCAUGAAGGUUGCAAGAAGAAUCCUGAGAUACUUAAAAGGAUCGAUAAACUAUGGAAUUUUAUUUCGACGAGACUCUGAAAGCAAAGAAGUUAUGGUUACUUGUUAUUCAGAUGUUGAUUGGUGUGGAGAUAAGAAAGAUCGAAGAAGCACUACUAGAUAUUUCUUUUAAGUAUUUGGUACCUCAAUCUCAUGGUGCUCGAGAAAGCAACUUGUGAUGGAACUAUCAUCGCGUGAGGCUGAAUAUAUAGCAGGAUCAUAUGUUGCAUGUCAAGCAAUUUGGAUCAGAUCUGUGCUGGAAGAGAUCGAGGUCGAAGUGAAGAAUUCUUUGGUACUGCAGAUCGACAACAAGUCAGUCAUAAAUCUUGCAAAGAAUUCAGUUUUGCAUGGAAGAAGUAAGCGCAUAAAAGCUAGAUUUUACUUCUUAAGGGAGAAGGUAAAUCGAGGUGAACUUGAAGUAAGACAUUGCUCAAGUGAAGCACAAUUGACCGACAUUUUCACCAAAGAAUUGAAGAUCGACAGGUUCCUAACGCUUAAAAAGAAAUUUAGGAAUAGUUUAGUGUGUUUCAACAACUUGGAUUAUAAUGAAGUAUGUUGGGAUAUUAGAUAUAAUUCAAGUUGAGUUAUGUGGCCCCAAGUCUGAAGCUAAUUAGGAUUUAUGAUUUAUUAUUUAAUUUGUUAUUUUACUUAGUAUUCAAGUCAUUUAGAUAUAUAUAAAUUGACCCUUUGUAAUUCAUAAUUAACAUUUAAUUUAAUAAUAUAAUUCUUAUUUUUUUAUUCUCUUUUUUUCUCAUCAUUAAAAGUGUCUCAAACACUAACAAGAACAUGAGGUUGUGUUGCUGAAGAUUCUUGUUCAUGAGAUCUAGUUUGGUCGUUUUAGUUUGUGCUUGCUUUUGUGUUUUCUAUCCUCUUUAUUUGGUUUUCUUGUUUUUUUUCUUGUUUUUUUUAGCGAGGCUCUUGGGCACUUCUUUGUGUCGUCAUGUUCCUUUAUAUUUUGACUCUUUAUAACCUUUAUUGUUAUAUUUAUUUGUCCUUAAAAAAUAUAAAAAUUAGAAAUUUUCCUAACUUAUCAAUCGCAAUUCCAAUUUUUUUCAUAAACUCUUUUACACUCAUAAGUGUCAUGCGCUAUUUCAAUCUAAAUUUUAUAUAAAAAUAUAUUUUAUUUGAUUGAUUAUUAAUGUAAUUCAAAGCCAUGCGACUAGGGAUGUGCAAAAAAAAACGAUUAUUCAUAAUCAAAUUUGUAUCUAAAUUGUUUCACUUUUAAAAAUUCAAUCCAAAUGCUAAAAUAUAAAUAUGGGUAUCCAUUUUGUUAUCCAAAUAUAAAUCGGUAAUCAUAAUAAUAAUGUAAUUUAGUUAUUGGGUACCCAAAUUUUAUUAUGUGUUAAAUUGAUAGGUUUGCUUCUUUUCAUUUUUUAUCAUAUAGACAUAUAUACAUUAUAAACUAUUUAUAUUUUAUUAAUUCUUUUAAAUUUCAUAAAAGAAAAAUCAGAAAAAAAUUUAGAAUAAAAAAAUAGUUUUUUUUUUAUUUACGAAAAAAAUAUUAUAUUUUGAAAACAAUUAUAUUCCAAAUACAUACCACCACAAUAUUGUUUAAUAUAAGAUCUAGAAAUAUUGCAGCCGAUAAGCUAUAGGAGUUUCUCGGAGCUUAUUAUCUUCAAUAUAAUUCAUAGGUUUUAUAAUAUAAAUAUUUGUUUCUAAUUGUUGUAUGUUGUUAGUCUACAAGUUAAAUGUAUUAAUAUCAGUUGAGAAUGUGGUUUUCAAAUUAUAUUUUUAACAUUUAAGUCCCAUGGGAAAACUAAUGUUUUUCCCAUGGGAAAACUAAUGUUUUUCAAAGUGAAGAAAUUAAAGUUUUAUAUAAGUUCAUUUAGUUUUUACUUUUUAUAGAAUUUCUUAAAGGUGUCAACGUAUGCAACAUCCGAGAAUACGGUUUCAACACUUCCACUUACAUUAGAGAUUUUUGAAAUUUGAAAAAAAAAUUGACAAAUUAUUUAUUUUAUGAACAAUUAUGAGAGAUUUUAGAAACUUGAACAAUUUUUCUAAUGAACUAUUUAUUUUAUGAACAAUUAUGAUUUAUAGAGAUAUGAUUCGUAAUUAUUUUAUUUUAUGACCAUUUUUAUGUAACACAUCAUAUUUUGAGAUUGUUUUUAAUCGAGAUAUUAUUUGUGGGGAUUAUAAAAGUCAAAUUUAAAAUAAUUUUUUAAAAUAAAUAUUUUUUUUACAUAAAAUAGUUUUUAUAAGUAGUGAAAAUAAAAAAGUUAGUUAAAAGAAAAUAAUUUUUUUUUAUAUAAAAUUGAUUUUUUAAAAAUAUAGUUUUAAAAACUAUUUUUUUUAUAAAAUUGAUUUUGAAAUUGAUUUUUUUAAGAAAAUAAAAAAUUAGUUUUAAAGAAAUUGAUUUAAAACUAUUUUUUUUUUAACUGUUUUUUUUUUUUUGAAAAACCGGUUUAAAACCGAUCCACUUAUAAACCGGUUUUAAAAAAAUAAAUUGAAUUUAUGAAAAUAGUUUUAAGAUCCAAACCGAACCAUAUAUAUGAUUCAAUUUGAUUUGGUUUAUGAUCCAUGCACACCCUUACCUGCGACAAUGCCAUAAUGGAGUAUGUCCUUCUUUUAUUUUUUUUUAUCAAAAUAGAGUGUGGUCGGUGAACCAAAAGACAUACAUCUUUUAGGCCGAAGAAGAAGACUAGUAUAAUAAGAAUAGAGAAAAUAAAUGAUAUACUGAAUUUAUUUUAUAUUAUCAAUCAAUAACGAUGAUGUAUCUCGUCAAAUAAGAUUGAAAAAUUUAAAAUAUUAUAUAAUAUAGCAAAAUAAUAUAUUUGUAUUGAAUGUAUUUGUAUAACUUUCAUUAUUAAACUGAUAUGAAUAAUUGAAAAACAACUGUACUAAUUAAUAAAUUCACCCAAAUGAGCUAAUUAACAAUAAACAGGUCUAUGAUUCAUUUAGAUAAAUUUAAAUCUAUUGUAUUUUGUUUGCAACAACUAACUUUGAGACUAGUUUAUUUUUUUAGAGGGUAGGUGAGUUAUGAUCAUUUCUACCAAACAUUUUAUUUUAAUACAUAAUUCUCAUCACCAAAGUUGGUGGUGGCAUUCAACGAAGGCAUGACUAUUUUUUUGUUUUGUUUAGAAAUUUACAUCACUAUCUUCUUAAUACAAAACUAUAUAUCCUUAAUUGGUAACAUCACUAUUUUAUAAUAAUAUUUUUAGUUUUCUUUUAUUCUAACAGUCAAACUUGUUGGGUGGAAUGUUCAUGUGCACGCUGCACGAAGUUACGUUUUUCAUUCUUCCAUAAAUUUAAUCCAUUUGAAUAUAUGAUACAAUAGAAAAAGUCAAUAAUUAAUAGUAUGUAGUUUGACUUAAUUAACAACCCUUUCAAUAGUUUAAGGAAUUCUGAUUUUUCUACUCAACAAGAGGAUGCCGUUUGAUUUUCUACAAGGGGCUGCUGCAUGCUAUAUGCUUGUCUUUUACACAACAACAUCUACUUUUCCAAUUUUAGAUAGCAACUUUUUUUUAUAAAAGAUAUUAUUAUUGAACUAUCCUAAUAAUUAAACAAUUGAUAUUUUUAAUUUUAAUGUUUUUUGGUACGUGUCAUUAUUGAAUCCGUCUUAGAAUUAUUUUAAUAUUAAAAUAUGGGUAGUAAUAACCAAAAAUAAAAUUAUUGACCAUGCUAUGUUCAUUUAAGUUUUUACUAAUAAUUUUAGAAAAUGAUCACCCUUCAUAGUAAAUUGAAUUCAACUAAAGUGCGGAUUUAGAGAAUGGACAAUUGAUUUCUAAAAAAAAUCGGUGCAUAAUAUUUGAAGACAACAAACUUAAGAAGCUCAUAACUGGAUGAAGAAAUUUAAUUAGAGUUUAGGAUUUAUUAUUUAGUUUGUUAUUUUACUUAGUAAUCAAGUCAUUUAGAUGUAUAUAAAUAGACACUUUGUAUUUCAGUUUUAUUAUUCAUUCAAUUCAAUACAAUCUUUAUUUUUUUAUUCUCUCUUUCUCUUCUCACUAAAAGUGUCUCAAGCACUAAAAAUUGGUAUCUAGAAUUCCAGUUAGAUUCUUGAUCGUGUUUUCGGGAUUGUGGGUUGUUGUUGAUCAAUCACUGCAAAGAUGAAUGGUAACAGAAAUUUAUCAAACUCCCUUCCAACUCUUAACGACAAGAAUUGGCUUCGAUGGAAAAAACAAAUGGAAUCACUAUUUGGCUUUCAUGAAACCCUAAAAGUGGUUAUUAAUGGUGUUCCUGCGGUUGGUGAAGAUUCAACUGACGCACAGAGAAACGCUCACAAGGAUGCCAAGAAAAAGGAUUGCAAUGCGCCAUUUUACAUCCAAUUGCAGUUGAUGCGGAAAACUUCGACAUAAUCGCUCAUGCUAAAUCGGCGAAGGAGGCGUGAGAUAUUCUUGUCUAGUACUAUGAAGGAGGCGAGAAAGACAAGAUUGUCAAGUUGCAAACUUUGCGAUGACAAUAUGAAUUGUUGUCGAUGUAAGAAGACGAAAAGAUUGUAGGUUAUGUUUCGAAGGUGCAGAAACUAAUCUAUCUCAUGAAGGGUUGUGGUGAAACCAUAGCUGAUAAUAUGAUAGUUAAGAAGGUAAUGCGUACGUUGACCUCUCACUUUGAUCAUGUUAUCAUAACUAUUCAAGAAUCUAACAAUCUUGAAACCCUAAAACUGGAAGAUUUGGUUGGUCCGUUGGAGGCGUGUGAGAUUAGGAUUGUCGAAAGGAAAGGAGUUUAAGACUUGAUACAAGCACUACAGGCCCAGUCAUUGAAGAAGAAUGGUGUUUCAAACAAGUUUAAAGGAAAAAUCGAUAAGACUCUGGGCAAAAAGUCUUGGUCGAAUCCUCACAAGAAUAAGGUCGAUGAUAGAGCUUCUAAAUCCUCGAAAAGAGGAGAAGAAAAUUCCUAUCAGAAAGAUAAAAAAGAGAAACAAGGUGUGUAGUGCAUUAAUUUUGAAAAGUUGGGUCACUUGGCCAAGCAUUUUUGGCACAGGAAAGAUAAAGGAUCGAUAAAAGUCAAGGAUGAAGGAGCGAACCUUGCACGUCAAGAUUCAGAUGAUUCUGAUGAUAUGGCGGAUAUGGUUGUAGUUGCAGAUGACCAUGUCGAAUCCAAGAUCUGGUUCCUCGACUCAGGCUGCUCGAAUCACACGACUAGUCGAAAAGUAUGGUUAGUAGAUUUUGACGAGUCGAAGAAGAGCAAAGUCAAACUUGUUGAUAAUAGCUCGUUGCAAGCUAAAGUAUUGGCAACAUAGUUAUUUAAAGGAGUAAUGGAGCGAAAUUCUUGAUCAAAGAUGUACUUUAUGUCCCUGGAAUAAAGUGCAAUUUGUUAAGUGUUAGAUAACUGGUCGAAAAAGGGUCCUUAGUGGUUAUGAAAGAUGGAGCCUUAGAACUUUUCGACAUCCAUAAUAACUUGGUCUUGAAAUAUCCUUUGUCGAAGAAUAGAACAUUUAAGACCAUGAUCAGUUCGAUUGAGGUACAAUCUCUAAAAACAGUUGUCGACCAUAAAAAUAUUUGGUUGUUGCAUCUGUGGUUUGGUCAUCUGAAUUUUAGGUCGCCCAAUCAAUUGAUCACUCAAGAUAUGGUAACUGGUAUACCAAGUCUUGAGAUGCGUAACAAACUCUGUUGAGGUUGUCUAGUCAGAAAGUAGUCCAAGAAGUCUUUCGUUUCGACUAUACCAAUAAGAUCAUCAUGCAUACUCGAAGUUGUACAUUCAGAUGUAUGUGGUCCUUUUGAGAAGCAUACCAUUGGUGGAAACAGGUUUUUUUUUUCAUUUGUCGAUGAGUUUAUUCAAAAUUUAUGGAUCUAUGUGAUCAAGAGAAAGGAUAAAGUAUUCGAAAUCUUUAAGCGAUUCAAAAUGCUUAUCAAAAACCAGAGUGAAAAGAAGAUCAAGGUGUUGCAAACAGAUGGAGGUGGCGAAUACACAUCCAAUAUAUCUGAAGCAUUAUGUUCAGAACAUGGUGUUGAUAAUGAGGUAACUUCUCCUUAUACUUCUCAACAUAAUGGUAUAGAAUAAAGAAGAAACAUGACCAUAUUGGACAUGGCGAGAUGCAUGUCGAAGUAGAAAAAUUUUCCAAAAUCUUUAUAGGGUGAAGUUAUUUUGACUGUUGUUUAUAUACUGAAUAGGUGCCCUACCAAGAACUUGAAGAACAAGGUUCCUAAAGAAGCGUGAAGUGGAAAAAGACCAUCAGUGAGUCAUCUGAAGGUGUUUGGCUCUAUGUGUUACAAGCAUGUUCUUGAUGCAAAAAAAAGGAAGCUUGAUGAAAAUAGUGAACCUAUGAUUCUGGUAGGAUACCAUAUUACUAUAGCAUACAGGUUAUUUAAUCCAAUUAAUCAGAAGAUUACAAUUAGUCGAGAUAUUGUGAUUGAUGAAAAUUCUGCCUGGGAUUGGAAUUCUAGUAAUGCAACUGUCAAGCCAUUGAUGAGCUAUGAUUUUGACGAAGCAAGUAAUGAUGUCGAAGUCGAAGAUAUUAUCAAUAUUCCAGUUGAAGUUGUUGCUGACAUAUCUGAAACAUACAAGGUCAUAGAGGUUAUGGCUAGCACAAGUUAGAGACCUCAAAGAACUAGAGCUCGUCCAACAAGACUUCAAGACUAUGAAGUGGUUGGUAAUGAUGAAGUCACAACAGAUGUAGAACUAGUUCAUUUUGCUUUACUUGCAAGUGUUGAACCAAUCAACUAUAUCGAGGCUUUAAAGAAUAUGAAGUGGAACUCUGAUAUGAUUGAAAAGUUACAAGCAAUCGAAAGAAAUAACACAUGGGAUUUGGUCGAAUUUUCAGCAUAUACAAAAGUUAUCAAAGUGAGGUGGGUGUUCAAAUUGAAGCACAAUAUUAAUGGGUCAAUAGCAAGACAUAAGGCAAGACUGGUAGCUCGAGGAUUUCUUCAACGAGCAGGACUCGACUACUCUAAAGUCUUUGCACCUGUCGCAAGAUUGGAAACUAUUCGACUAAUGGUAGUCUUGGCAUGUGAGCAUGGCCAGUCAAUAUUUCACUUAGAUGUGAAAUUGGAAUUUUUGAAUGGAUCUUAUGAUGAAGAGGUAUAUGUCACAUAACCUCUUGGGUUUGUGAUUCAAGAUGAAGCAAGGAAAGUAUACAAGUUGCACAAAGCGCUUUAUGGUCUCAAGCAGGCACCUAGGGCAUCGAACAAGAAUAUUGACUCAUACUUGGUCGAAUUGAGAUUCGUCAUAUGAAAAUAUGAGUAUGGCGUCUAUGUUCAGGCAGUGGCACAAGAUAUAACAAUCAUCUACUUAUAUGUUGAUGACUUGCUAAUAACUGGAAAUAGCUUGAAGAACUUGUUAAAGUUCAAAGAGCCGAUGAAGAAGGAAUUUGAAAUGUUGGAUCUUGGAAAGUUAUCAUAUUGCCUAGGCAUGGAGUUUCAAAUGUCGAAGAAAGGUAUGGUGUUACGUCAAAGAAAGUAUAUCAAGGAGAUACUCAAGAGAUUCAAGAUGGAUGAUUCGACUCUUGCAUCUUCGCCCAUCGAACCAAAUUUGAAGUUGGAGAAGUAUGGAGAGGAAGACAAAGUCGACACAACUUUGUUCAAACAAAUUGUCGGAUCUCUGAGAUAUGUGUGCAACAGUUCACCUGAUAUAUGUAUCUCAGUCAAAUUAGUGAGCAGAUAUAUGAGUGAGUCAAUGGUGUCACACAUGAAGACUUCAAGAAUAAUCCUGAGAUACUUAAAAGGAUUGACAAACUAUGGAAUUUUAUUUCGAUGAAACUCUAAAAGAAAAGAAGUUAUGGUUACUUGUUAUUCAAAUGUUGAUUGGUAUGGAGAUUAGGAAGAUCUAAGAAGCACUACCGGGUAUUUCUUUCAAGUAUUUGAUGCCCCAAUCUCAUGGUGCUCGAGAAAGUAACCUGUAUUAGCAUUAUCAUCGUGUGAGGCUGAAUAUAUAGCAGAAUUUUAUAUUGCAUGUCAAGUAAUUUGGAUCAUAUAUAUGCUGGAAGAGAUUGAGGUCGAAGUGAAGAAACCUCUAGUACUGCAGAUCGACCACAAGUCACCCAUAAAUCUUGUAAAAAAUCCAGUUUUUCAUGGAAGAAGUAAGCACAUAUAAGCUAAAUUCCACAUCUUAAGGGAGAAGGUGAAUCGAUGUGAACUUGAAGUAAGGCAUUGCUCAAGUGAAGCACAAUUGACCGACAUUUUCAUCAAAAGAUUGAAGAUUGACAAGUUCCUAACAUUGAGAAAGAAAUUAAGAAUAGUUCAAAUCGUCAAUGAUUAGUGUGUUUCGACAACUUGGAUUAUAUGGGGGUAUAUUGAGAUAUUAGAUAUAAUCCAAGUUGAGUUAUGUGGCACAAGCCCGGAGCUAAUUAGGUUUUAGGGUUUGUUACUUAGUUUGUUAUUUUACUUAGUAGUCAAGUCACUUAGGUGUAUAUAAAUAGACACUUUGUGAUUCAGUUUUAUUAUUCCUUCAAUUCAAUAAUACAGUCUUUAUUUUCUUAUUCUCUCUUUCUAUUCUCACUAAAAGUGCCUUAAGAGCUAACAUACAUUAGAUACUUAUUUAAUAAGCAAUUAAUUAUUUAACAAACUAAACAGAAAACUAACUUUAUGACUAAAUUCUUCUUCCUUUUGAAAUAGCCUCCCGCAAGUUAAACUUUGAUAAAUAUUGGCCACAUUCAACUUGGGCAUAAGAAAAUUGAAAAUGACUUGGUGAAAAUGUGUGUUAUAUGAUUAUGAGAAGAAAUAGGAAUCACCUUUAUAGCUCUUGCUUGGAAUUUCUCCCUAACAAUAUGGCAAUAUAUCUCAUGAUGCUUAUUCCUUUAAUGAAAGACUGUAUUUGCAGCUAUAUGAAAUGCACUUUGGCUCACAAUAUAAAAUGAGUGGCUUAGACGAGUCGAAUUGUAAAUUAAGCAACAAAUAUAAGAUCCACUAAGGCUCACAUGCUAAAGCAGACAAAGUUGUAUAUUCAACUUCAUAUGACGGUCUUGACACAAUACUUUCCUUUUUAAUUUCUGUGAAAUGAGAGAAGAACCAAUGGCCUGACAUAGAUCUUCUGGUAUCAAUACACUCUGUCCAACCAGCAUUGAGAAAGCUUGUAAAUGUAUAAUUGAACUUCUAUGGAAUAUUAACACUCAACCACGACAAUGCUUAAAGUACCUUAAAACUCUACAAGCAGCAUUGUAAUGAACAAUGGAAGGAUUGGAAAAAAUUAGUUUAGUUUUGAGUGAUGAAUUUGAUAUAUGGUAUAGUAGUGUUAAGGUACAUAAGUAUGUCAAUGGGUAUUUUAAAUGAUGGUAUUAUUGGACAAGUGACUUCAACACAAAAAAGAUGGCGGAUUGUGUUUGUUUGAAAUACAGUGUUCAAAUAAAAUAUCUUUGAUAAAAUUAGAGUUUAAAAUAAGUUUGUAUAACAAACAAGAAAUAACCAACAGAAUAAAAAAAUCAGAAUGGAAAGAAAUAAAUACAUCAGAAGUAAAUAAAUGACUAAAAUUUAAAGAGAUAAGGUAAGAUAAAACUGCAUUAUAGAUUUAUAGAGGUUCGUGCCUAACCAUUUGAUGUACUCCUCUCUCCACAGACCUCCUUAAAAUAGCCUGGAGUUUUACAUUGGCUAUCCUCCAAAGCAAACAGGAGUUUUAACUAUGGAGACUCCCAACCAAACCCGAUAUUUUAACACCAAUACUAUCUUGAAUCAAACGAGAGAUUUUGACACAAGUCUAAUCUCAAGAACCAAACGAGAGAUUUUAACUCCAAGCUAAGAUCACGAACUAAACGCGAGAUUUUACCAGGUUGAUCUCGAAAACCAAACAUAGAUUUUACCAAGUUCACCUCAACAAUCAAAGAAGAGAUUUUUAAUAUAUUUAGCUCAUAACCAAAAUAACAUUCUCAUAAGAAAAAUAUUAUAACAAUGUCUGACACCGAAUCAAACUACCUCACAAAUAAAAAUUCACUCUCGAAUUGAGCUAUUUGGUGAAAUAAUUGAUGAAUCAAUUAUGGAACAAAUGGGUGAACUUAUGUCGGACUUGUUAUGCAAGUCACUACAAUAUUCCAAAUUCCAAAUUAUGUGAGCCAGGUGGAUUUUGAAUUUGAUAUGGAAAUAUAUGUUGAUGAAAGAUAACAUUCUUAGAUAUAAAAAUUUCUUGUGAAUGAAGGUUUAAUAAGAUUAAACCUUUGAAACCAACAACAUAUCCUAAAAAUAAUGAUUAAUUUGCUUUUCAAACAAGUUUAGUCAUGUGGUUUUGUGAAGUACAAAUAUAACAAGGGGAACUAAAAUCUUUUAUUUGACUCAUUAGGUAGAGAAUCAUUGAGCAUUUUAUAGGGUUAUUUAACAGAAAAAUUAUUGGAACUAGACUUACAAUUUGGUGAAUCAUCGAUUUGAGUACCACCAUUAAUCAUAAGUCUGUAUAAUCCUUCAAUUUGACUAGUCAAACAAAUCUUCUUUUGUGAUUUCGAAUCCUACAAGAGCCAUUUAUUAUUAAAAAGUGAUAAACAAAAUUAAGAGAAUAACAUAGUUUAGGAACUCACAUGAAAUUCAAAGAAAAGAUGAGAUUGUAUAAUACAUAUGUCAAGGAAAGUUUAGGUGAAAGGUAAUCGUGCCAUCCUAUUUAGCUAUAAUAGAAGAAUCAUUGAAAAGACGUACAAUUGUCACACUCUUUAUAAUAAAAAUAUUGACAUUUGCACUAAAGUAAUGGUCUUUGUAUUUGGUUUGCAGUCCAAUUUUAAAACUUGUUUAUUUUUUUAGGGUAGGUGGGUUAGGCUCAUUUCUACCACCAUUCUUAUUUUAUUGAACAAUUUUUAUCAUUAAAGUUGGUGGCGAUGCAUGGGAUAUAAUAUAUACUAGUUAGUUAGUAAGUAAUAAUACACACAUCUUUGACUUUUUUUUGUUUUUUUCAUGAAUUUGUAAGUUGUAUUUCUAUCUUUUUAAUUAUUUGAGAAAAAAACAAUAAUGUUAAGUAACAAACCCCUAAGGGUUGGUUGUAACAAACCCCUAAGGGUUGGUUGUGUUUCUCUUAAAAUUUUAGAUUUGAAUCUUGCUGGAUGUUAAUCAUUCUUAUGUUUGAUCAAUCCAUAUAGAAUUUUGUUCAAACUUUAAAUAGGUCACCGCUAAUGGACGAUGGGAUUGGUUCUUUUGAAUUAGUCAAUUGUAAUGCCAUAUAUCAAUAUUUUUAUUUAAAAAACUAGUAACAUCUCUCUUUCAUAACAAUGAGUGGAUUAUAGAUUUAGAUUGUACUUGGCACAUUAAUCCAAACAAAGAUGUGUUUGAAGAAUUAUGUGAUCAAGAAGGUGGAUCAGUGCUGCUAAAAAAUAAUAAAGCCUACAAGAUUGCAAGGAUUAGAUCUGUGAGAUUCAAGCUUCAUGAUGAAACCAUAAGGUUGUUGACAUAUGUCAGGUAUGUACCUGAUCUAAAGAGAAAUUUUAUUUCUCUGGGUGAAUUCGACAAGAAAUGAUAUAUUUUCAAAGGAGAUCAUGGUAUCUUGAGAAUCAUGAAGGGGCCGAAGGAAGAAUGACUUGUAUUCCCUUGAAGCUGAGGUCAUAAGUAGGUCAGUUGAUAUCGCGUCAUCAAAGCACUUGACAAAGACUGAGUUAUGGAACAUGAGAUUUGGCCAUGUCAAUGAAAAAGGUCUGGUUGAAUUAGAAAAGUAAAAUCUAUUAGGUAGUGACAAGGUCAAAAAGCUGAAGAUUUGUGAACCAUGUGUAUUUGGCAAAGCUUGUGGAGUGAAGUUCAACAAAGGCCAAAAAAGAACAAAUUAAUCUCUUUAUACAUCCAUGCUGAUCUUUGGGGACUUACAAGAAAUCCAUCACACUCGGGUGCAAGUUAUUUUCUAUCCAUAGUUGAUGAUUACUCUAGAAAGUUAUGAAUAUUCAUUUAGAAAACUAAGGAUGAGACUUUUGAGAACUUCAAAAGUUGGAAAACUUUGGUGGAAAUUUAGAAUGGAAGGAAGGUCAAGAGGUUAAGGACAAAUUAUGGCAUUGAGUUUUGAAAUGAUUCAUUUAAAAGUUAGUGUGUUAUGUCUAGGACUACAAGGAACAAAACUGUUACAAGUACACCCCGGAAAAAUGGUCUGGCUGAAAGUUUUAGUCGAACUAUCUUUGAACGGGUGAGGUGCAUGUUGGUUAGUGUUACGUUGAAUAAGGUGUUUUAGGCUUAGGUUGUUGUGACUGCAGCACACCUGAUAAAUAGGUGUCCCUCAACUGCCUUGGGGAUGAAGACAUCUGAGGAAGUCAGGUCAGGUCAUCCACAAAAUCUCGACAGGCUUAGAGCAUUUGGUUGUGUAUCAUAUGCUCACAUUUGACAAGACAAAGUCAAAUCUAGAGUUAUGAGAUGCAUGUUACUUGGGUAUCCUGAGGGAGUCAAAACUUAUAAGUUAUGGUUCCUAGAACCUGGUCACAAGAGGUGCAUCAUUAGUCGUGAUAUAGUUUUCAAUGAAUUUGAGAUGGACUUUAAGAAAAUUGAUUAUGGUGUGGUUAGUUGAAAGAUCUUUGAAUAAGAAGAAAAGAAGGAAGAAGUUCUUGUUGAGGUAAAUCACUUAGGAAAUGAAGUGCACAAUCAUGGGGGAAAUCCAGAUGAAGUUGUUGAAGAAGCACAGGAUACUGAAGAAAAUGAGGAAACUGUUGAUGACUACCUGUUGGCAAGAGACUGGUCAAGAAGACACAUUAAGCCACCUCAAGGGUUUGGUUAUGCAUACCUCAUAGUCUUUGCCUUAAUUUCAGCAAGUGAGGUUUUCGAUGAAAAACCUAGAGAUUACAAAGAAACUAUGAGGAGUUGAAUUAAGAAGAAAUGGUUGAAAGUCAUGGAUGAUGAGAUAAAAUCUCUUCAUGAUAACCACACCUGGAAGCUGGUCAAAAAACCUGUUGGGGCUAGGUUAGUCAGCUGUAAAUGGAUUUUCGAAGUAAAGGAAGGAAUUGAAUGAGUUAUGUUGAAAAGGUUCAAGGCAAUACGGGUUGCAAGGGGCUUCACUCAAAAGGAAGGAGUGGACUUCGAUGAUGUACUAUCUUCUGUUGUGAAGCAUAGAUUCACUAGAAUGCUUUUUGCCAUGGUGUUUAGGUUCGACAUAGAAUUGAAGCAGAUGAGUAUGAAGACUUCCUUCUUAUAUGUUGAUCUCGAUGAAACGAUCUUGAUGAAGCAAACUGAAGGGUAUGAAGAAAAAAGUAAGGAUAUGUGCAAGCUGGACAGGUCACUAUAUGGCCUGAAGCAAUCUCCUAGGCAAUGGAACAGGAGAUUCGGCAAGUUUAUGACACAUAUGGAGCAACUUCGAUCAUUGUGUCUAUUUUAUGUUCUUGCCAGAAAAUUCAUUUGUCAUCUUAUUGCUCUAUGUGGAUGACUUCCUUAUAGCAAGCAACCCCGUCGAAGAAGUAAUGAGGGUGAAGUCUGAACUUAAUUAGGAAUUUAAAAUGAAGGACAUUGGAGUUGCAACCAGGAUUCUAGGUAUCUACAUCAAGAGAGAUAAAAAACUGUCAAAAUUAUGUUUAUCUCAAGAGUCAUAUCUAAGGAAAAUUUUCGACGGGUUUGGUAUGUCAAACUCAAAACUUGUUAUAACGCCAACAACUUAGCAAUUCAAGCUGAGUAUAACUCAAAUUCCUAGUACUGGAGCUGAAAGUGCUUAUAUGAAUAGGAUUUCAUAUGCUAGUAUAGUGGGUUCUUUGAUGUAUGAUGUGGUAUGUAUCAUGUCAUACAUAGCUUAUGCAGUAAGCCUUGUAAGUAGAUACAUGUCUAACCCUGGAAAAGCUCAUUGGCAAGCUUUGAAAUGAAUUCUAAGAUACAUAAAAGGAUCCCUGAGUAAGGUCCUAAUUAAUGGUGGAAUCAGAGGUCGGGUUGACCAAAGGAAAAUCGAAGGAUUUAUGGACUCUAACUAUGUAGGAUUGUAUGGACACCAAAAAAUCUCUUAUGUCUCUUCGGAAAUUAAACGAUUUCUUUUCGAUAGUAUUACUUUAUUCUUAGCAUUGAAUUUCUCAACAAUAUUUAUAUUAAUCCUAGUAAAAAAUCAGUUCCACUAUUUGAAUAAGGUAAAAUAGAAUUAAAUAAAAAAAUGUAUUCUUCCUAAGUCAGAGAAAGAAAAAUGAUUCUAACUGAUGGAAAUAUAGAGACUUAAUACCACGUUAUUAUCAAUUAAGAAUAUAUAGUAUAUGUCCACAAAUUAAUAGACAAAAGAUCGCCAGCAUAUUUCUAAACAAAACAAAAAACAGUCAAAGUUACUAUAUAUAACAUAUACAUGCAUAGUUGGACUAUGUAUGCCGCCACAAACUUUAGUGAUAAGAAUAUUAUUCAAUCAAAUAAAACGAAAUGGUGGUAGACAUGAUCAUAAUCCACCUACCCUCUAAACAACAAAUAGAAUAUUAAUGCUAGUGCCCAUUUUUUUAUCAUAAAGAAUGUAACAUUUUUUAGCUAUAUAUAAAGGUUGCAACCAAGGUUCAGUCCUCAUCAAACAUAAUACCUCAAAUUGAAACAACCUUAACUUGAACCUUCUCAACCAACAAAAACAACAACAUGGGCAGUGUUGAAAUUCCGACAAAGGUUCUUACCAACACAUCUGCUCAAAUUAAGAUGCCUGUGGUUGGAAUGGGAUCAGCACCUGACUUCACAUGCAAGAAAGACACCAAAGAAGCAAUCAUUGAAGCCAUCAAACAAGGUUACAGACACUUUGAUACUGCUGCUGCUUAUGGCUCCGAACAAGCUCUCGGUGAAGCUUUGAAUGAGGCUAUUCAACUUGGUCUUGUCACUAGAGAACAGCUUUUUGUUACUUCUAAACUUUGGGUUACUGAAAAUCAUCCUCACCUUGUUCUUCCUGCUCUACAAAAAUCUCUCAAGUAAGUAAACUAGAAUUAGUCACUUUUGUUAUCUCUAUCGUGAAAGAGACUUAUUGGAUUUGUUGAUUAUUUUGUGCAGGACUCUUCAGUUGGAUUACUUGGAUUUGUAUUUGAUUCAUUGGCCACUUAGUUCUCAGCCUGGAAAGUUUUCAUUUCCAAUUGAUGUGGCUGAUCUAUUGCCAUUUGAUGUAAAAGGUGUGUGGGAAUCCAUGGAAGAAGCUUUGAGACUUGGACUCACGAAAGCUAUUGGUGUCAGUAACUUCUCUGUCAAGAAACUUCAAAAGCUACUAUCUGUUGCCACUGUUCUUCCUGCUGUUAAUCAAGUAAGUCAUUAACCAAACAUCAAUUUAGAUUAAAACUUUGAUUGAUUAUCAAUAUUAUUUAUAUAAUGUACUUGUGUAUGUAUGUAUAGGUAGAGAUGAACCUUGCAUGGCAACAAAAGAAGCUGAGAGAAUUUUGCAAUGAAAAUGGAAUAGUGUUAACUGCAUUUUCACCGUUGAGGAAAGGUGCAAGCCGAGGAGCAAAUGAGGUUAUGGAGAAUGAUAUGCUUAAAGAGAUUGCAGAUGCUCAUGGAAAGUCUGUUGCACAAAUUUCUCUGAGAUGGUUAUAUGAACAAGGAAUCACUUUUGUUCCAAAGAGCUAUGAUAAGGAGAGAAUGAGUCAAAAUUUGAGAAUCUUUGAUUGGACACUGACAAAGGAGGAUCAUGAGAAAAUUGAUCAAAUUAAGCAGAAUCGUUUGAUCCCUGGACCAACCAAGCCAAGUCUCAAUGAUCUUUGGGAUGAUGAAAUAUAAAAGAAAAGUUGCUAAAGUUAUUCAACUUUGCUUUGGCAUCUAUCUUUUCUGUUUAUUUUAUACUACUUGUUUCUUUUGAGCUUUGAAUUACCAAUGUUUUUGUAUUGGGUUUAAAUGAUCAAUUUUAAAUUUAAUAAUUUUCUCCAACAUAUCUUAUAAUAGUGUUUUACUUUACUGUCAUGAAAAUUGUAAUUUUUUUUAUCAAAAAAAAUUGUAUUGACUUGAUUAUACAAUUCAAUUAUAGGAUGUGUGUCCAACAAGUAAUAAUAUUAUACUAAGAAGUUGAAAGAGUGGUAUACAACUAAUAUCAAAACUUAAGAAUGCAUAAUCACCACAUUAUAACCCAACAAGCAGAAUGGUAGUUUGCAUUAUAUUUAAGAAAUUUAUGUUCAUGAUAGUGUGAAUGAGAAAUCAAUGAAAUUGUCCCAUGUAGAAAUGAGCAGUGCUAUAAACACUAAUUUGUUGAAUCCAUUUUUAAAAUGUUCAAUCUAAAUCAUAAUGGGCAACAAGAGUCAUGAUUGUCCUAAAAUAAUCUUUCGAUGAAACCGGCGAGAAAGUAUCUUUAAAGCCAAUCUCUUCCUUUUGAGUAUAAUCCUUAACAACAAGAUGGGUUUUAUACAUUUCCACAUUAUCGUUAAAAUCCUGCUUGGUCUUAAAAAUUCAUUUGCAACCAAUUGGUUUCACACCUUAUGGUAACAGGACAAGUUCCCAAACUUUAUUGUCUUGCAUGGACUUAUACCCCUCCUUCAUUGCUUCAAUUCACUUUUCCAAGUUGUAAUCUUGCAUGGAUUGAGGAAAGUUGAUUGGAUCAUCUUCCAUCAUACCAUUAUUUUCCUCAUGUUCUUGGAGAAAGAAUAUGUAAUCAUCCGGAAUAGCAUUUCUCCUUUCUCUAGUGGAUCUCCGCAAAGGUAUUGGUUCUUGUAACACUGGUUCUUGAGAAUCUUGAGUUUGUUCUUCAUGAAUUACUAAAUCAUCUUGAGUUUGAGGAAUUUCAACAAUUUCUUGUUGAGGUGUCGUUCUUACUUGAUCAAAAGCAACUAUUUGAAUUGGUUCUGGAAUUGUUAUAGAUUUUUCCUCUAAGACAAAGUCUCUAACCUUAUUAUUCCCCCCAAACUCAAUAUCCUCAAAAAAUAUGGUUGUUCCCGUCUCCAAAAUUGAAUUGAAUUUGGGAUCGUAAAAUUUGUAGCCCCUAGAUCUUUCAGAAUAGUCAAUAAAGUAGUUGCUUAUUGUUCGGGAGUCCAAUUUAUUUUCAUUUGGCAUGUAAGGUCUUAACUCAACUAGACAUCCCCACACAUGAAAAAAAAUUAGACUAGGCUUUCUCCUAGUCUAAAGCUCGUAAGGUGUUAUGGCAGUUGCCUUUAUUGGUACUCUAUUUAGGAUGUAAGUUGCAGUCUUUCUCCCCAGAGUGACUCCGGCAAGGUAGAAUGACAAAUCACACUCCUUACCAUAUUCUUAAGAGUCCGAUUUCGUUUUUCAGCAACACCAUUCAUAUUAUGAGAUCAUGGCAUGGUGUAUUGUGGGACGAUUCCACAUUCCUCCAGAUAUUUGGAAAAAGACUUUGGACGCUGUCCACCUGAACCGUCAUAUAUGUCGUAAUAUUCACCGUCACUGUCAGACUUGAUUUUCUUAAGUCUUUUGUUGAGUUGAUUCUCAACUUCAACCUUAAACGAUUUGAACACAUCCAAUGAUUGUGACUUUUCAUGUAUAAUAAAUAUGUGCGCAUAUCUAGAAUAGUCGUCUAUGGAUGAUAUAAAAUAUUGUUGCCCAUUCCAAGAAGGUGUGAUAAAUGAUCCACAAAUGUUUGUAUGUAUUAAUUUUAAGACAUCUAUAGCUCUAUAUGCAACAUAUGUCUUUGUUUUGGUUUGUUUACCUUUAACGCACUCAACACAAACAUCAAAGUUUGUGAAUUCAAUGGAAUCCAAAAUUCCAUCGGACACUGGUCGCUCAACUCUAUUUUAAGAGAUGUGAACAUAUGCACUUGUGUCAUAGUGCUCCUGAAUUGUUAUCAUCAAUUUUACGCUUAGUACCACGUGAUUCCACAAUUAAGGAUUUGCCAUAUGUAGCUAUUAUGUCAAGCAAAUAUAGAUUAUUAUGACCCGUAAGUGAUCAGUUACAACAAUAUCUGAAGUGAAAUACAACUUGAACAUAUUGUUUCCAAAUGAACAAAAGUAACUUGAUUUUUCCAAAUAAGAAACUGAAAUUAAGUUUCGUCUGAAUGACGGAACCACAAAAGUGUUUUUCAAAUCCAAAUAAAAUCUGAUACACAUCAAUAAAAUAAAAUUCCUUACAGCUUCCACCUCUACCGAAUUGCCAUCUCCCACAUAGAUUUAUCUUUCAACAUCAUUUGGAUUCCGGUAGUUCAGGUAACCCUUCAUUGAAACAUUGAUGUUAGUAGUUGCUCCAGAGUCUAACCACCAAGUGUUUCCAGGUUCCUGAAGCUAAAUUGACCUCAGAACAAACCAAACCAUGACUUAUGCGAUUGGAGCGAUCCCGCUUCUCAUAAUUUUUCCUCUGUUUAGAGGUACUAGAUUCCGUAGGAGAAGAUGGUUUCUUCAUCCUUAAUGCAAGGUCAAGAUCCAUGUAGCCAGGAACAAUUUUUAUGUUUUCAUGCCAAUCCUUAAAAUUUAUCCCAUUAAGGACCGGAACCUUAUUCAUAUUAGCAUAUAUUAAAGCAAUUGUAGUUGAAAAAUAGAACAUAAUAAAUACUAUAAUAUACUUAUACAAAAAAAAAACCGAAUUAUAAAUUUGUUCAAAUAAAGACAUAACCCAUCUUAAGAUACCUAGUACAACAUCACUAUUGAGUCUUUGGACACUAAUAUUAACUGAUAGUGGUACUCUUGUUGUAACGAUUAAACAUUGAUAAUAAAAAAAUGUCAGAUAAUAAACCCCUCUUUGGAUUGAUUUAUUAUUCGCAUGUGAAACCUUAUAAUUAUAACAUGUUUACCAUCACAGACGCGUAUGAAAACUGACCAACCACCAACUGUCCUUUGGGUCAAUUGAUACUCGCAUGGAUAAGCAUACACAGCCAGAAAAAUAUUUAACAUUUUUCAUAAGUAAUUUCCACAAAAGAGAUCACUUUGGCGAUUUUUCAUUUCAACAACUCACUUAAAAGAUUAAACUUUGUAUAAAUUUAAAAACCAUAGCCAAAACUUGAACAAAAUUAUACAAAAAUUAAUGGAUGAAAUAACUAAGGGGCAUGAUCAUACAAACAAAAACGACAUGCCUGUGUUCCAAUCAGUGCUCUCUUUAUUAUGCGAAGCACAACAAAACAAUAACAAGUAAUAUAUUAUAUAUUAAUACUGAUAAUAAAAACAAAUUUAACAAAAUUAUUUAUUUAUUAUCAAAAUAACUUGUUUUAAUAAAUAAAUAAAAUUAAACAUAAACUUUAAAACAUGUGUGGCUCUAAAUUGUGUGUGACGUGUAUUAAGAAGGUUGUCAAUGCAAGGUAUGCAUUAACAGAACCUUAUUUUAAACAUUAUCGUGAAGACAUCACAUUAUCAAACGCAUAUGCAGUAAGGUGGAUCAAUAAUAUUCCAUUGGAAAAGUGGACUAGGGCAUGCGACAACGGUCAACGAUGGGGUCACAUGACAACAAAUCUUGUGGAAUCAAUGAACUUUGUCUUCAAAGGCAUCUGAAACCUACUUAUAACCGCUCUAGUGUAAGCAACUUAUUUUAGGCUAGGGACGCUGUUUUAGAUCAGACGUUCCAAAUGAAGUUUAGUGUUACAAUUUGGGCAGUUGUUCAGUGAUGCUUCAAUGAAAUUUAUUAAAGAGGAAGUUGUCAAAGCUAACACACAUGUGGUCAUGGUGUUUGACCGUACUAAAGGUUGAUACAGUGUUACUGGGUCAAUGGAUCACAAUGAAGGCAUGUCGAGGGAACACUAUCAAGUGGAACUAGAUAAAAGGUGGUGCGAUUGCGGAAAGUUUCAAGCAUUUUGUAUGUCAUGCUCCCAUCUCAUAGCGGCAUGUUCAAAGGUUCGACGGGAUCCUUCUAACUUAUUAUGUGACAUUUACAAAGUCAUAAUCAUUUGUAAUGUUUACAAAAUUAGCUUUUAGGUGGUAGCAAAGGAGGAUUACUGGUCUGCAUAUCAAGGGGACACUCUCUGACACAAAAAAAUAAUGUGAAGAAAGAAAAAGGGUCGCCCAAACAACACCCGUAUUCGAACCGAAAUGGAUACGACAAACAAAAUGGUUAGAUUGUGUAGUUCAUGUCGUCAUCCUGGUCAUAAGCACAACAAGAUAAUUUUAAUUGUAACUCUUUUACUUUAUAUUAAAAACAACAUUCAUUUCAUAUGACAAGUAGAACAAAUAUAAUGAUUAAACAACAACACAAGAAACUAAAACCAAUAAAAUAACGUCACAAAUAAAUACAACACAUAAACAAUAUAACUAUACGGUUACAACCAUCAAAACAAUUUUGUGAGAAGUAUACAUCAUCAUGUGAACGUCUCUGUCAGUUUUAAUAUUGACACAGAAACGAACUUCUCCAGUUUGGUUGAACGUCGUAUAAAGUCAUUGAAUUCUUCUGAUCCUUUCACCAUCUGCAAUGUCUUCAUCUAACCAACGGUUUAAGUACCUGUUAAGAUGUUCGAACUUAUCUACAUUCCAAAGUCGAAUCUUGAUCGGAGACUGCACUACUGAAAAGAUUAAAUCGCCACUUCUCUUGUGAAGACAUUUUAAAGAAUAUCAAAGGAGAUUGAAGAAAAAUGGAAUGAGAGAAUAAGAAGUUGUGUGAAAAAUUAUGGGAGUGUGAUGUUGUGUAUUUAUAGAUGCAGUGGUGGAGCAGUAGCCACAUGCAUUGGCGUACACGUAGAGUGGACUAUGCAUGCGCCAUUGUGUGUGGCACCUACACAUGCAUGCGCCACGGAUGUGUCAAUGCAUAUGGCGUCAAUGACUAAUAUUUUCAUUGGGUGCACCAAUGCAACUGGCACCUAGGUUAGAUGUUUUUUUGAAAGAUGAUUAUUUCGGUAAAUACUUUAAAAAAAUGGUUAUUUAAAAAUUUUAUUAAAAAAAUAGAUUAUUUAAAUAUAAAAAAAUCACCUCAAAUUAAUAAUACAAAUUAGAUUAUCAUGCACAACUUCUGACUUUUUUUCAAAAUUUAAAAAAAAAUAACUUAUUUAAUUAACAUAAUAAUUUUUAAGAAAUUAAAUAUGACCGUUUAUUAAUUAAGAAUUAAAGUGAGGGAAAUCCUCAAACCUUAAUUUAAUCUUUGAUUUGAACUCCAAUAUCUUAAGCCUUAUUCUUGAAUUUCUCAUUCCAAUUAAAUUAUUUAUAAGAUUAAACGAAUCAUCAAGAUAAGAAAAUGAUUCAUUUUUAAAUUGAUGUUAUAAUGAUAAUACGAUAUUUAUUAAUACUUUACAUACACUUUAAUAUAUUUCAGAAUAUUUAAAUUGUUCAUGAAUUGAUAAUUUUUUUUGUGUGAAUAUCAUAUUAUUUUUAUUUUUUUAGCAUGAAAGCUAAAGAAGUAAAAAGAAAAAUAUCCAAUUGUUUUUGUUGGUAGUAGCACCGGUUUGACAAGAAUUUGUUCGAUCCGGGUUUGCGUAUGCUCAUUGCUCAACUUGUUCCAAUUUGGAUUUUGGUGACAAACUUUAAUUCCCUGUCACCCACAAAAUAACACAAUAGCAGCCCCUUGCUCUGUAGAAAGGUCGUAACAUAAUUUCUCAAAUUCUUACUUUCUUUUUAGUAUUAAGAAACUCUCAAAUUUAUUUAUGGAAGAAUUACGUAAAAACCUAAGUUCGUGCCAUUAACUUGCCACCCUACAAGUCACUCUUAGAAAGAAUUUUAUAAAUAAAUAAACUUUUAUUAUUAUUAUAAAAUCUAGAUGGCUACCAAUAGUCAAUAAGAUAGCGAUGCAACAUGCAAAUUUCUAUACAAAAUGAAACAAACAAAAAAGGAGUCAAACAUGUAAUGUAUUAAUUAUAUACAUGCCACCACAAACUUUACUCAUUACAAUAUUAUUCAAUUAAAUCAAAUCAAGUGGUAGAAAUUAUCAUAAUCCACCUACCCUCUAAACAACAAAUAGAAUAGAAUAAUGCUACUCACCAUUUUUUAGCUAUAUAUAAUAGUUUCUAGCAUCAAACAUAAUACCUCAAAUUGAAACAACCUUACCUUAAACCUUCUCAACCCAACAACAACAACAAAAACAACAACAUGGGCAGUGUUGAAAUUCCAACAAAGGUUCUUACCAACACAUCUGCUCAAAUUAAGAUGCCUGUGGUUGGAAUGGGAUCAGCACCUGACUUCACAUGCAAGAAAGACACUAAAGAAGCAAUCAUCGAAGCCAUCAAACAAGGUUACAGACACUUUGAUACUGCUGCUGCUUAUGGCUCCGAACAAGCUCUUGGUGAAGCUUUG